GCGAUCAUACCAGCACUAAUGCACCAGAUCCCAUCAGAACUCCGCAGUUAAGCGUGCUUGGGCGAGAGUAGUACUAGGAUAGGGGACCAACCAGAAAGUCCUCGUGGUGCAUCCCACUUUUUCUUUCGGUUUUUCUCUAUUUUGUUUUGUUAAAAAUGUAUGACUCUAUAACGUUUAGACCGUGAGGCAAAACUUGGAAUGUGAUACCUUUUCGGAAAGCCCAAAGAGAGCUCUCCGAUAAAUGAGGAAGGAAAAUGGAAUUCUUCUAUUGGUUUUUUAUUCUACUCCAAAUUUUGACCUUAAUGUACUUUUUUGGUCUUUUUGGUGAUCUUUGCUAUAUGACAGGGCGAAAAUUAUAUGAUCGGACAUUGUUUUCGAAUAUUUUGCAUGUAUCAAAGCUCUUAUAAACAAGAUAGGGUAUUCCUACAUAGCUGGUGGGAGCCACGGCAAAUGGAUCUUAAAGUCUUCAAAAAAAGAAUAGAUACGAUUGCAUUGGAUGUAGUAAACGGAUGCGAUCAUACCAGCACUAAUGCAACGGAUCCCAUCAAAACUCCGCAGUUAAGCGUGCUUGGGCGAGAGUAGUACUAGGCUGGGUGACCUCCCGGACAGUCCUCGUGUUGCAUCCCUCUUUUCUUUUUCGGUUUUUCUCUAUUUUGUUUUGUUAAAAUUGUAUGACUCUAUAACUUUUAGACCGUGACGCCAAACUUCGCAUGUGAUACCUUUUCGGAAAGCCCAAAGAGAGCUCUCCGAUGAAUGAGGAAGGAAAAUGGAAUUCUUCUAUUGGUUUUUUUGCUAUUCCAAAUUUUGACCUUAAUGUACUUUUUUGGUCCUUUUCGUGAUAUUUGCUAUAUUACAGGGCAAAAAUUAUAUGAUCGGACAUUGUUUUCGAAUAUUUUGCAUGUAUCAAAGCUCUUAUAAACAAGAUAUGGUAUUCCUACAUGGCUGGUGUGACCCACGACAAAUGGAUCAUAAAGUCUUAAAAAAAAAGAUAGAUACGAUUGCAUUGCAUGUAGUAAACGGAUGCGAUCAUACCAGCACUAAUGCACCGGAUCCCAUCAAAACUACGCAGUUAAGCGUGCUUGGGCGAGAGUAGUACUAGGCUGGGUGACCUCCCGGAUAGUCCUCGUGUUGCAUCCCUCUUUUCUUUUUCGGUUUUUCUCUAUUUUGUUUUGUUAAAAUUGUAUGACUCUAUAACUUUUAGACCGUGAGGCCAAACUUUGCAUGUGAUACCUUUUCGGAAAGCCCAAAGAGAGCUCUCCGAUGAAUGAGGAAGGAAAAUGGAAUUCUUCUAUUGUUUGUUUUUUCUAUUCCAAAUUUUGACCUUAAUGUACUUUUUCGGGCUUUUUCGUGAUCUUUGCCAUAUUACGGGGCGAAAUUAUAUGUUCGGACAUUGGUUUUGAAUAUUUUGUAUGUAUCAAAGCUCUUAUAAACAAGAUAUGGUAUUCCUACAUGGCUGGCGUGACCCACAGCAAAUGGAUCAUAAAGUCUUCAAAAAAAGAAUAUAUACGAUUGCAUUGCAUGUAGUAACGGAUGCGAUCACACCAGCACUAAUGCACCAGAUCCAAUUAAAACUCCGCAGUUGAGCAUACUUGGGCGAGAGUAGUACUAGGAUGGGUGACCUCCCGGAAAGUCCUCGUGUUGCAUCCCUCUUUUCUUUUUUUUGUUAAAAAUGUACGACUUUAUAACUUUUAGACCAUGAGGCCAAACUUGGAAUGUGAUACCUUUUCGGAAAGCCCAAAGAGAGCUCUCCUAUGAAUGAGGAAAGAAAAUGGAAUUCUUCUAUUGGUUUUUUAUUCUACUCCAAAUUUUGACCUUAAUGUACUUUUUUGGUCUUUUUCGUGAUCUUUGCUAUAUGACAGGGCGAAAAUUAUAUGAUCGGACAUUGUUUUCGAAUAUGUUGCAUGUAUCAAAGCUCUUAUAAACAAGAUAGGGUAUUCCUACAUAGCUGGUGGGAGCCACGGCAAAUGGAUCUUAAAGUCUUCCAAAAAAGAAUAGAUACGAUUGCAUUGCAUGUAGUUAACGGAUGCGAUCAUACCAGCACUAAUGCAACGGAUCCCAUCAAAACUCCGCAGUUAAGCGUACUUGGGCAAGAGUAGUACUAGGAUGGGGGACCUACCAGAAAGUCCCCGUGGUGCAUCCGACUUUUUCUUUCGGUUUUUCUCUAUUUUGUUUUGCUAAAAAUGUAUGAUUCUAUAACGUUUAGACCGUCAGGCCAAACUUGGCAUGUGAUACCUUUUCGGAAGCCCAAAGAGAGCUCUCCGAUGAAUGAGGAAGCAAAAUGGAAUUCUUCUAUUGUUUUUUUUUUCUAUUCCAAAUUUUGAGCUUAAUGUACUUUUUCGGGCCUUUUCGUGAUCUUUGCUAUAUUACGGGGCGAAAAUUAUAUGUUUGGACAUUGUUUUCGAAUAUUUUGCAUGUAUCAAAGCUCAGAUAAACAAGAUAGGGUAUUCCUACAUACCUGGUGGGACCCACGGCAAAUGGAUAGUAAAAUCUUCAAAAAAGAAUAGAUACUAUUGCAUUGCAUGUAGUAAUGGAUGCGAUCAUAUCAGCACUAACGCACCGGAUCCCAUCAAAACUCCACAGUUAAGCGUGUUUGGGCGAGAGUAGUACUAGGAUGGGGGACCUACCAAAAAGUCCUCGUGGUGCAUCCCACUUUUUCUUUCGGUUUUUCUCUAUUUUGUUUUGUUAAAAAUGUAUGACUCUAUAACGUUUAGACCGUCAGGCCAAACUUGGCAUGUGAUACCUUUUCGGAAAGCCCAAAGAGAGCUCUCCGAUGAAUGAGGAAGCAAAAUGAAAUUCUUCUAUUGUUUUUUUUUCUAUUCCAAAUUUUGACCUUAAUGUAGUUUUUCGGGCCUUUUCGUGAUCUUUGCUAUGUUCGGACAUUGUUUUCGAAUAUUUUUCAUGUAUCAAAGCUCUUAUAAACAAGAUAUCGUAUUCCUACAUGGCUGGUGUGACCCACGACAAAUGGAUCAUAAAGUUUUCAAAAAAGAAUAGAUACGAUUGCAUUGCAUGUAGUAAACGGAUGCGAUCAUACCAGCACUAAUGCACCGGAUCCCAUCAAAACUCUACACUUAAGCGUGCUUGGGAGAGAGUAGUACUAGGAUGGGUGACCUCCAAGAAAGUCCUCGUGUUGCAUCCCUCUUUUCUUUUUUCGGUUUUUCUCUAUGUUUUUUUGUUAAAAUUGUAUGACUCUUUAACUUUUAGACCGUGAGGCCAAACUUCGCAUGUGAUACCUUUUCAGAAAGCCCAAAGAGAGCUCUCCGGUGAAUGAGGAAGGAAAAUUGAAUUUUUCUAUUGGUUUUUUUUUCUACUCCAAAUUUUGACGUUAAUGUACUUUUUGGGGCCUUUUCGUGAUCUUUGCUAUAUUACGGAGCGAAAAUUAUAUGUUUGGACAUUGUUUUCGAAUAUUUUGCAUGUAUCAAAGCUCUGAUAAACAAGAUAGGGUAUUCCUACAUAGCUGGUGGGACCCACGGCAAAUGGAUCGUAAAGUCUUCGAAAAAGAAUAGAUACGAUUGCAUUGCAUGUAGUAACGGAUGCGAUCAUACCAGCACUAACGCACCGGAUCCCAUCAAAACUGUGCAGUUAAGCGUGUUUGGGCGAGACUAGUACUAGGAUGGGUGACCUCACGGAAAGUCCUCGUGUUGGAUCCCUCUUUUCUUUUUUCGAUUUUUGUCCUCUUUUUUUUGUUAAGAAUGUAUGACUCUAUUACUUUUAGACAGUGAGGCCAAACUUCGCAUGUGAUACCUUUUCGGAAAGCCCAAAAAGAGCUCUCUGAUGAAUGAGGAAGGAAAAUUGAAUUCUUCUAUUCUUUUUUUUUCUACUCCAAAUUUUGACGUUAAGGUACUUUUUAAGGCCUUUUCGUGAUCUUUGCUAUAUUACGGAGCGAAAAUUAUAUGUUUGGACAUUGUUUUCGAAUAUUUUGCAUGUAUCAAAGCUCUCAUAAACAAGAUAGGGUAUUCCUACAUAGCUGGUGGGACCCACGACAAAUGGAUAGUAAAGUCUUCAUAAAAGAAUAGAUACUAUUGCAUUGCAUGUAGUAACGGAUGCGAUCAUAUCAGCACUAACGCACCGGAUCUCAUCAAAACUCCGCAGUUAAGCGUGUUUGGGCGAGAGUAGUACUAGGAUGGGUGACCUCCCGGAAAGUCCUCCUGUUGCAUCCCUCUUUUCUUUUUUCGGUGUUUCUCUAUUUUUUUUUGUUAGAAAUGUAUGACUCUAUAAGGUUUAGACAGUGACGCCAAACUUCGCAUGUGAUACCUUUUCAGAAAGCCCAAAGAGAGCUCUCCGAUGAAUGAGGAAGGAAAAUUGAAUUUUUCUAUUGGUUUUUUUUCUACUCCAAAUUUUGACGUUAAUGUACUUUUUUGGGCCUUUUCGUGAUCUUUACUAUAUUACGGAGCGAAAAUUAUAUGUUCGGACAUUGUUUUCGAAUAUUUUGCAUGUAUCAAAGGUCUUAUAAACAAGAUAGGAUAUUCCUACAUAGUUGGUGGGACCCAUGGCAAAUGGAUCGUAAAGUCUUCAAAAAAGAAUAGAUACGAUUGCAUUGCAUGUAGUAACGGAUGCGAUCAUACCAGCACUAAUGCACCUGAUCCCAUCAAAACUCCGUAGUUAAGCGUGCUUGGGGCGACAGUAGUACUAGGAUGGGUGACCUCCCGGAAAGUCCUCGUGUUGCAUCCCUCUUUUCUUUUUUCGGUUUUUCUUUUUCUUUUUUUGUUAAAAAUGUAUGACUCUAUAACUUUUAGACAGUGAGGCAAAACUUCGCAUGUGAUACCAUUUUGGAAAGCCCAAAGAGAGCUCUCCGAUGAAUGAGGAAGGAAAACUGAAUUCUUCUAUUGUUUUUUUUUCCAACUCCAAAUUUUGACGUUAAUGUACUUUUUUGGGCCUUUUCGUGAUCUUUGCUAUAUUGCGGAGCAAAAGUUAUAUAUUCGGACAUUGUUUUCGAAUAAUUUGCAUGUAUCAAAGCUCUUAUAAACAAGAUAGGGUAUUCCUACAUAGCUGGUGGGACCCACGGCAAAUGGAUCGUAAAGUCUUCAAAAAAGAAUAGAUACGAUUGCAUUGCAUGUAGUAACAGAUGCGAUCAUACCAGCACUAACGCACCAGAUCCCAUCAAAACUGUGCAGUUAAGCGUGCUUGGACGAGAGUAGUACUAGGAUGGGUGACCUCCCGGAAAGUCCUCGUGUUGGAUCCCUCUUUUCUUUUUUCGGUUUUUGUCCUCUUUUUUUUGUUAAGAAUGUAUGACUCUAUUACUUUUAGACAGUGAGGCCAAACUUCGGAUGUGAUACCUUUUCGGAAAGCCCAAAAAGAGCUCUCUGAUGAAUAAGGAAGGAAAAUGGAAUUCUUCUAUUGGUUUUUUUUUCUACUCCAAAUUUUGACGUUAAUGUACUUUUUUGGGCCUUUUCGUGAUCUUUGCUAUAUACGGAGCGAAAAUUAUAUGUUCGGACAGUGUUUUCGAAUAUUUUGCAUGUAUCAAAGCUCUUAUAAACAAGAUAGGGUAUUCCUACAUAGCUGGUGGGACCCAUGGCAAAUGGAUCGUAAAGUCUUCAAAAAAGAAUAGAUACGAUUGCAUUGCAUGUAGUAGCGGAUGCGAUCAUACCAGCACUAACGCACCGGAUCCCAUCAAAACUGUGCAGUUAAGCGUGUUUGGGCGAGAGUAGUACUAGGAUGGGUGACCUCCCGGAAAGUCCUCGUGUUGGAUCCCUCUUUUCUUUUUUCGGUUUUUGUCCUCUUUUUUUUGUUAAGAAUGUAUGACUCUAUUACUUUUAGACAGUGAGGCCAAACUUCGGAUGUGAUACCUUUUCGGAAAGCCCAAAAAGAGCUCUCUGAUGAAUAAGGAAGGAAAAUGGAAUUCUUCUAUUGGUUUUUUUUUCUACUCCAAAUUUUGACGUUAAUGUACUUUUUUGGGCCUUUUCGUGAUCUUUGCUAUAUACGGAGCGAAAAUUAUAUGUUCGGACAGUGUUUUCGAAUAUUUUGCAUGUAUCAAAGCUCUUAUAAACAAGAUAGGGUAUUCCUACAUAGCUGGUGGGACCCAYGGCAAAUGGAUCGUAAAGUCUUCAAAAAAGAAUAGAUACGAUUGCAUUGCAUGUAGUARCRGAUGCGAUCAUACCAGCACUAACGCACCRGAUCCCAUCAAAACUGUGCAGUUAAGCGUGUUUGGGCGAGAGUAGUACUAGGAUGGGUGACCUCCCGGAAAGUCCUCGUGUUGGAUCCCUCUUUUCUUUUUUCGGUUUUUGUCCUCUUUUUUUUGUUAAGAAUGUAUGACUCUAUUACUUUUAGACAGUGAGGCCAAACUUCGGAUGUGAUACCUUUUCGGAAAGCCCAAAAAGAGCUCUCUGAUGAAUAAGGAAGGAAAAUGGAAUUCUUCUAUUGGUUUUUUUUUCUACUCCAAAUUUUGACGUUAAUGUACUUUUUUGGGCCUUUUCGUGAUCUUUGCUAUAUACGGAGCGAAAAUUAUAUGUUCGGACAGUGUUUUCGAAUAUUUUGCAUGUAUCAAAGCUCUUAUAAACAAGAUAGGGUAUUCCUACAUAGCUGGUGGGACCCAUGGCAAAUGGAUCGUAAAGUCUUCAAAAAAGAAUAGAUACGAUUGCAUUGCAUGUAGUAGCGGAUGCGAUCAUACCAGCACUAAUGCACCGGAUCCCAUUAAAACUCCGCAGUUAAGCGUGCUUGGGCGAUAAUAGUACUAGGAUGGGUGACCUCCCGGAAAGUCCUCGUGUUGAAUCCCUCUUUUCUUUUUCGGUUUUUCUCUUCUUUUUUUUGUUAAAAAUGUAUGACUCCAUAACUUUUAGAUAGUGAGGCAAAACUUCGCAUGUGAUACCAUUUCGGAAAUCCUAAAGAGAGCUCUCCGAUGAAUGAGGAAGGAAAAUGUAAUUCUUCUAUUGGGUUUUUAUUCUACUCCUAAUUUUGACCUUAAUGUACUUUUUCGGGCCUUUUCGUGAUAUUUGCUAUAUUACAGGGCGAAAAUUAUAUGAUCGGACAUUGUUUUCGAAUAUUUUGCAUGUAUCAAAGCUCUUAUAAACAAGAUAUGGUAUUCCUACAUGGCUGGUAUGACCCACAGCAAAUGGAUCUUAAUUCUAGACUUUUUGUAAUCCCGAUUUCUCUUUAUCUAUUCAGUAUUCAGUAUUCAGCUUUUGUUCUUGAUUUCGUUUACUGUUGUUCAUUCUGUUAUCAUCAUGUUGUUACACUGUUGUUAUCAUGUCUUCCACCUGUUCAACGUUUAUGCUUUCUGUUAUGAUGUCUGAGUAGUGAAUAGGUUUUUGAGGAUGGCUUAGAGUAGUGUAGGAUUCUCAGUAUGCUAGGUGAUUGAGUAUUGAUUGAUAGAUCCCUUCUGGAUUAGUUGUUCUUAAUGCCUAUUGCUUUCUGAUCAACUGGAAUUUGAGCCCAGACAUUUCCGUGCCCAAAAGGUGUUCGAUGAAAUGUUUGAACCACUAAUUCCAGAGAUUCGUGACCCUGUACCAAGGUAUUGGUUGCAAGGAGCGUUUUGGCUUUAACUUGUUGAUUCGUAAUGCCUGUUAGGUUAGCUCUCGUCAAUGGUGAUUGAGUCUGGGACUAGGUUAACUUGAGGGUCUCAGUUGCGGUGGCACUUAGAUUUGGUUAAUGAACUUGUUAUCUAAGGUUAAUUUACUGAGCAUGUCAAUCACCUGUAAACUGAGAAAACGAAACUACUCAAUUACCCCAUCCUCAGGAAUUCUUUAUCUGAUUGAAUUCUUUGUUUACUCUACUGUUGUUUACUGCAUCUUGUUAUCUGUUGCUUAAUUUCUUCAGUUCUUUCUUGUUACUCGACCUCAUACUCGACCACCUAGUUGUUUGGCAACAGACUGUACAGUCGAGUAUCUGUGUUUCAUUUUCUGUCUGUUACUCGACCUGUCACUUGACCUCACCCAGUGUUCUGCAAAGAGCUGUGUUGGUCGAGUGUUUUACUGUUUCUGUUUGAUUUUCUGUUUUCUGCAUGUUCACUUAGAACUGCUAGAACACACCAAAACCUGUUAUUGCUUGGCUUGACUUAGUGACUUCUGAUCACAUCUUGAUUGUUAGCAUCACACCCAUUUGGAUUGACAACCUAAAAUACUACAACGAUAUGAUUGGUGUUUUAGGAUAAUUGACUAAAAAACCUAUUAUCAAUUUGGCGCCGUUGCCAAUUGGGUGUUUGUUUGUUACAUUUGAGAUUUCAGACUUGCUUAGAUCAAGUUCUUUUUCAAUUUUCUUUUCGGUUACUAACUGUGUGUUUUUCUUGUUGUCUUCUUGAUCCAGGUACACCUCUGCUGUAUGCGAAUUCGAUCAACAGGCAAUCAGAACCUCCUUUUCGACGACAACAUCAACCGCAUAGCUCGCGAACUCAGAAAAAGGAGAACCACAGUCACCCCUGUAUCUCAGCAACCACUCGAAAUGGCUGAAGAACAGAAUCAACAAAAUGGCCCUGCCAACAUUGGUGCUGGAGAUGCACCACGUGAUCACCGCCAGAGGAAAGGAAUUGCACCUCCUGCGAUCCAGAACAACAACUUCGAGAUUAAGAGUGGUCUCAUCUCGAUGAUUCAGGGGAACAAAUUCCAUGGUCUGCCAAUGGAGGAUCCACUCGACCACCUUGAUGAAUUCGAUAGGCUCUGCAACCUAACAAAGAUCAAUGGUGUCAGUGAAGACGGAUUCAAGCUCCGUUUGUUCCCAUUCUCCUUGGGCGACAAAGCACACAUCUGGGAGAAGAAUCUGCCCCAUGACUCAAUCACCACCUAGGAUGAUUGCAAGAAGGCUUUUCUAUCAAAGUUCUUCUCCAAUGCCAGAACUGCAAGACUCAGAAAUGAGAUUUCUGGUUUCUCACAGAAGACUGGUGAAAGCUUCUGUGAAGCAUGGGAGCGUUUCAAGGGGUACACCAACCAAUGCCCUCAUCAUGGCUUUACUAAAGCCUCUCUGCUCAGCACUCUUUACAGAGGAGUCCUACCACGCAUCAGAAUGCUUCUGGAUACAGCUAGCAAUGGGAAUUUCCAGAACAAGGAUGUUGAAGAAGGCUGGGAAUUGGUUGAGAACCUCGCUCAAUCAGAUGGCAAUUACAACGUGGACUGUGAUACGUCAGAGGAACAGCUGAUUCUGAUGACAAACACAGGAAGGAGAUCAAAGCGCUGAAUGACAAGCUGGACAUGAUUCUUCUUAGCCAGCAGAAGCAUGUGCACUUCCUUGUUGAUGACGAGCAAUUUCAAGUCCAAGAUGGGGAGGGUAACCAGUUGGAAGAAGUCAGCUACAUAAAACAACCAGGGUGGCUACAAAAGAUACAACAACUAUCGCUUGAAACUCUUUCCAAGAAAACUUAAAUCCAGAUGUUCUGGCCCAUUCUGUAUCACUGAGGUCCGUCCUUAUGGAGCAGUCACUCUAGCUGGUAAGAGUAGAGAUUUUACAGUAAAUGUUCAAAGGCUCAAGAAAUACUUAGCAGACCAAAUCCUUCCAGAGGUGACAUCGGUUCAUCUCCAAGAACCUCUUGAUGAUUAAAGGAGUAAAGGAGUCAAGCUAAUGACUUUAAACAAGCUCACUUGGGAGGAAGUCCCAUGAUUAUCUCUGUAAAUAAAAAAUUUCUUGUCUUGUUAUUUUUGAUUUGUUUUAAUUGUGUUUGUGGUUUUCAGAGAAAAGGGAACAACGUGGAGAUAGAGUAAAAAUUCAAAACUUUUACUCUACAGAAGACCUGGAGAUUGAGUGUAUAACCUGGUGGAGUACAAAAUUUAUAAAGUUUUCUGCUGCGUCUGGAGACACGGAAUUCGAGUACAUCAGUCGAGUAUACGUGAUGUUUAAAAUCCAAAAUUUUAAAAAAACAUCAUUGUACUCGACCAACAGGAGCUACAGAGACUUGCAAGGAUUUCUUGCAGUUUACAGUAGAUCUUCUGCAUAUUUUUUCAGUCAACAGAGUGUGGACCACGCGCUGAGGAUAAGCUGGAGAGAGAAUCUAAAACUCAACCUAGACCACUCAUUUAAAAACAUCACUCGACUUCACAAAAUCCACUCGACCUACCUCUUUUCAUUUCACCACCGACACUCUAAUCUCUCUACACCACGAAUCGCCGUCCAAAGAGAUACUCGAUCCUGACAAUAUCACUCGGCCUCCGAGAGUUACUCGACAUCCGCGCCGCCGUCACCAGAUCAUAUCUUCCGUCACUCGACCUCCGGGAACCACUCGACCUCUGCGCUUCCGUAAUCGAGUACUCCUCCUCGUUCACCGUCGAAGUCUCCGUGACCACUUGAUUACGACCAAGCUACUAGACCACAAACUAUCACUCGACCUCGAGUAUUCACUCGACCUCUGCAGCAGCAACUCGACCUCUUGUUCUUGAAAGCAACAGAGCCCUGAAGAACUGUCAGAGUGUUUACUCGACCUCUAGGCUUCACCGGCUGAACUCAACCUCCACAACUUACUCGAUCUCCUGAAGCAUACCCACUCGAAUCCGGAGACGAUACUCGAUCCAAAUCGUCUAAAGGGAACUCAAGAACAGCUCAGUCUACUCGAGUACAGAAUUGUACUCGACCAAUAGGGUUUAUUUCAUUGCCUAUUGAUAACAAUUUUGGUUUCAUUGCUAUCUUUGAGACUAACCUAUUGACUUUGAGCUUUGAGUUCUAAAUUUUUACAGGAGAAUCAUGAGCAAUUACAGUGGCAGUUCUUCUGUUGAUCCUGACUACAACAUGGAUGAGACAGAGUCAACAUCUUCAAGGCCAGAGAGAGAACAAAGAGAAUAUGAAAGCUUCAGAAGGAAAGCUGAGAUAGCCCGAGGGAAGAGAGCGAUCACUGAGAGGUAUGAGCUUAUAGACGAAGAUCAGGAAGACGAGUACAUGCCUGAACAGACUCGUAGAGCUACCAAACUUCUGCACAAGCCCGACGUAUUGCCUGCUGAGGAAUAUGUUAGGCUUUUCAAGCUGAACGAGUUCUGUAGCACGAGGUAUCCUUACUCGACCUCACUUGCACAACUCGGAUUGUUGGAAGAUGUUCAACACCUGUACCAGAGUUGUCAUCUGGACACUCUGAUGGCUUAUCCGUAUGUAGCGUAUGAAGAUGAGACAAUACAAUUUCUUUCCACGCUGCAAGUAGAGCUCUACCAAGGUAUGACCUCUGAUGAGUUGGAUUGUGAAGGAUUGGGAUUCUUGCAAUUUUCUGUGUAUGGCCAUGAGUAUAGGUUAUCAAUCAAGCGCUUGGAAGGAUUGUUUGGCUUCCCCAGUGGAACGGGAUCUAAGCCCAAGUAUGACAGAGAAGAGUUGAAAGACUUGUGGAUCACCAUUUGCAGCUCUGUACCGCUGAAUGCUUCUAGGUCAAAGAGCAAUCAGAUACGCAGCCCUGUCAUCAGGUACUUCCAGCGUUCUAUAGCCAAUGUACUCUACUCCCGAGAGAUCACAGGGACUGUUACUAACUCUGAUAUGGAGAUGAUCGCAAUGGCCCUCAAGGGAACUCUUCGCCAAACGAAGAAUGGUAUGUCUCUCCAAGGUGAAAUCAAUGACACACCUCUCUCUGUACUUCUUCUGAUCCAUCUGUGUGGAUACAAGAGUUGGGCUGUCAGCAAUAACCGCAAGAGAGCACGAGGCGCUCUGUGCAUAGGUGGUGUUGUGACACCGAUUCUGAUAGCUUGUGGAGUCCCAAUCAUAUCUGCCGGACUCGAGCCGCGAGCAAUGGAUAUCGAGCACCUACGUCACUGCGAAUUCCUAGAGUUUGCAAUGGUUGACGACUUCCACAGGUUCAGGUUUGAGCACUCUACAGACAGGAGAGCUAACAUCCUUCUCCCUAGCCCUGAGGUUACACGGAUAAUAGAGGGAGAUAAUAUUGAUUUUUGGCCUGAGGUUGGACGCCUCUACUAUGAGAACGCUCCGCCAUUCAAUGAGGAGGAUCUUCUAGAAGAAGCUGUUUCGGAUGGGAUGGAUGACGAUUGCGCAGUGGAGUUCGACACUAGCAUGUAUCACUUUGGUGAAGAUGUACCUCCAGCGAGGCAGAGCAAGAGCUUGACCGAAGCUCAUAAGAACAAAAGUAAAUUGCAGAAGUGGUGCAAGAAGCAGGACAAGUUGCUCGCCAAGUGUUUCAAGGCUAUCAAGCUUCUGACAGAUAAGCUGAGUUGUUCCUCCUCCACCACAGCUAUUCCACAGGUAUUGCCUCCUCUGGAGAUGCCAUCGAGGAGAUUUGAUAAGCCUGCGCACAAGCCUGAGCUUAGCGAGCAGAGAGUCUCUCAUGCCCCGGUUAGGCAUUUGUCAUUCGAGUCCCGGGAGCACAAGAGAAGAAGGAAGGCUACACUCACUUGAUCUAGGAGCAGAUCACACCUCAUUCACUCGAGGAGAUCACUUGACCGCGGUGCCGGCCGUAGCAGAAGGAGAGAGGUCGAGUAUCCUCAGAGCGGUGCUGGCCGCCACAGAGCUAAUGAGGUCGAGUACCCACCUGCUGGAGCUGAUACAGAACAAGGUGGUUCGUCUAUGGCCUGGGAGCAAUCACAGGCAGCCAUUGACGAGCAACUACGUUCAUUCUUCGAUUGAGGUACGCGCCUCACUUCACCAUUGUAUUAUAUCAUCUGUUGUGAUUUGUUUCUUCAUUUCGUUUCUGUGAUUGGAUUUGUCCUGAGUACUCUCUUCCAAGUUUAUUCGCAUAGUGGACUGUGUGAUUUAAGUUUGGGGGAGGGCUCAGGAAGUGUGUGUUAUAUUUUUGAGUCUGCAUUCAUCUAAGGGAUAGAAAAACCAAAAAAAAUUGAAAAAUUUUAGAAAAUGAUUUGACAAAAAAAGAGUGUUCAUGUAGUUGCAUUACAUUUAGGAUCGAGUCUAGAGUGUUUCAUUUAGGAUUGUUGCAUAUGCAUAGGGGAUGAUGAUGAGAUAGCCUUGUAAGCAUUUUGAUUCACAGGAUAAACUCAGUGCCCUCGUUGCUAGUUGUCUGUUGCGUAGUCAAUGAAUUUGAAAUAAAACUGAACCAUGCCUAGAUUGCUCUAUUCGACCACACUAUCAUGAUCUGAUACCAUUCCCUAUCAAUUUGAACCUGAAUCUGAUCUUUAAUUAUCAUGUCUGCAUCAAAUUUGAACUCAUGGAUACCCUAAAAUACUUGGAUUUUCUUAUUCAUUUUGAUCACUCUUGUUAAUCCAAGUAGCUGACUCUCCUUAUUAGAGCAGUUAACCCAAACCCAAACCUAGACUUUCUUUCAAGCCCUAUAUCACUUGUGAGUGUUUGUGAGGUCUUAUUCCGAUUAAGCUUGGUAGAAAGUGUUAGGUUCGUAACGACAGAGAUAGUGUCUCAUGUAGUUCUAGUUCGCAUUUUUUGGACUAGAUAGGACUAGGUGGGCGCUUAUACUUUGGGUUGGGAUGUGUUUAAAAGAAAAAAAAAAGGUUGAUUUAUUGAUAAGAAAAGGUAAAAGACUCUAGGUGAAGUAAGCUAAAGAAGCAGAAAAAGUCUACUAAAGGUUUUGGGAUUUGUAAAGAAAAGAAAGAGUUCUUGUUAGCUAUUGAAGAUGGGCAAAAGCCCUUGGUUUUAAAAUGUUAAAAACAGGAACCUUAGUUGUUAAAGAAAUCCAAAUCCGCUAGAUGUAUCAAAGUGUUGAGAAAGCUUCUCCUAGAGUUAAGAGAAAAGAAAAGAAUGAUUAGAAAAAGGGCUUAAAAGAUUCAUGAAUGCAAAGGGUAGAGUUUAGUUCUUGUAUUGGGAUUGGAGAUGGGAUUACCAUUAGAGCUUCAUUUGAUGUACUCUGGGUAGAUGGGAUCUUAUCUCUGUAUGCAUAGCUUGGGACUUACCUUUAGCAUUCUACUAAAGCUUAAUCAUUUUUUGAGAGAUCCCCUGUUAUUGAAGCCUAUUCUGUAAGGGACCAUCUUUGUCUCUUGACCUUUUACCUUAGCCAAAUGAGUUCUUUGAUGAUGCAUUGCUUGAUUCACGUUCCAGAACUAAUGAAUGUUAAAGGGAUUGGUAGAUUUGAAAACUUGUGUAGGUCGAGCAUAUGAGUCGGAUUGAUUGAUUGAUGAGGCAUAACUAACUUUUUUAAGUAGAAUUCGAUCUUGCAGCUUAGAACUUUCAACUUGGACAUUGAUUUCAUCUGGUCUAUCUGGUGCUUUGGCUCUGAGUCCCCGCUUUCAAACCUCACCUCCAGCUUGUUCUUGAUUGUUUGCUUGAGGCAAGCAAAGACUAAGUUUGGGGGAGUUGAUAAGUUUGUAUUUUGCAUGUUUUGAGCAUCCAUUUGUCAUCAUUUUAGCAUCAUAUCAUCACUGUUUUAUACCAUUUCACAUCAUUUGUCAUCACUUUGCAUGUUUAGGAUAGUUUUGCAUGCAUGUUGCAUAUUUGUGUUGUUUUCAGGUGAUUUGGAGCUGUCGACGAUCUAACUGGAAGAAGCGGACCUGAUCAUGACAAACCACUCGACCAAGAGGUCGAGUAGGAGCUUCAAGAUCUCAAGAGACCACUCGACCCCCAGGUCGAGUAGAAGACACCACCACUCUAUCACAUCACUCGACCCCCAGGUCGAGUGUCUUCAUCUCCAUCUCUUGACCACCACUCGAUCACAUCACUCGACCCCCAGAUGUAGUGACUUCAUCCCAUUGCUAGACCUCUACUCGACCUCAUCACUCUACAUGGAAGUCGAGUAUCACCAUCACACCACUCGAUUGCAUACUCGAUGACAAGCUUCAGAGCCUUCUUCAUUCCGCACUCAACCAGACACUCGAGCACAAGAAAGAAAAGAAGACUCCAGCUAUUCACUCGACCUCCCACUCGACCACAUGGGUCGAGUACAGUUCUUAAUCCGUCCCAAUACUUUGUCGUUUUGAGUAUUAGGGUUUCGGAAUAUUUGGCUAUAAGUAGCAUGUACUUCUCAUUUUCGCAGACAAGAAAUUUUUAUCUAGUUUUAUUCUGCAGACCUUGUGUUCUAGACUUUUUGUAAUCCGGAUUUCUCUUUAUCUAUUCAGUGUUCAGUAUUCAGCUUUUGUUCUUGAUUUCGUUUACUGUUGUUCAUUCUGUUAUCAUCCUACUGUUACACUGUUGUUGUCAUGUCUUCAACCUGUUCAACGUUUCUGCUUUCUAUUAUGAUGUCUGAGUAGUGAAUAGGUUUCUGAGGAUGGGUUAGAGUAGUGUAGAAUUCUCAGUAUGCUAGGUGAUUGAGUAUUGGUUGAUAGAUCCCUUCUGGAUUAGUUGUUCUUAAUGCCUAUUGCUUUCUGAUCAACUAGAAUUUGAGCCCAGACAUUUCCGCGCCCAAAAGGUGUUCGAUGAAAUGUCUGAACCACUAAUUCAAGAGAUUCGUGACCCAGUACCAAGGUAUUGGUUGCAGGGAGCGUUUUGGCUUUAACUUGUUGAUUCGUAAUGCCUGUUAGGUUAGCUCUCGUCAAUGGUGAUUGAAUCUGGAACUAGGUUAACUUGAGGGUCUCUGUUGCGGUGGCACUUAGAUUUGGUUAAUGAACUUGUUGUCUAGGGUUAAUUUACUGAGCAUGUCAAUCACCUGUAAACUGAGAAAACGAAACUACUCAAUUUCCCCAUCCUCGGGAAUUCUUUAUCUGAUUGAAUUCUUUGUUUACUAUAUUGUUGUUUACUGCAUCUUGUUAUCUGUUGCUUAAUUUCUGCAGUUCUUUCUUGUUACUCGACCUCAUACUCGACCACCUAGUUGUAUGGCAACAGACUGUGCAGUCGAGUAUCUGUGUUUCAUUUUUUGUCUGUUACUCGACCUCACCCAGUGCUCUGCAAAGAGCUGUGUUGGUCGAGUGUUUUUUACUGUUUCUGUUUCAUUUUCUGUUUUCUGCAUAUUCACUUAGGACUGCUAGAACACACCAAAACCUGUUAUUGCUUGGCUUGACUUAGUGACUUCUGAUCACAUCUUGAUUGUUAGCAUCACACCCAUUUGGAUUGACAACCUUCAGUACUACAACGAUAUGAUUGGUGUUUUAGGAUAAUUGACUAAAAAAACUAUUAUCAAUGCCCUUUGUGCUGACUAAUGCACCAGCCACCUUCCAAUCAGUGAUGAAUGAGCUGUUUAGACCAUAUAUGCGCCGGUUUGUUUUAGUGUUCUUUGACGACAUUCUGGUAUACAAUCUUGAUGUAGAGACACAUCUCAAACACUUAGAGGUUUUUCUUCAGAUUCGGUUACAGAACAGGUUCUACGCCAAUGAGAAGAAAUGCCACUUUGGUUGCACAAGGAUAUCAUAUUUGGGCCAUAUGAUCACUAGCGAAGGAGAUUCUACAGAUCCCACAAAGAUAGAAGCUAUGGUAAAGUGGCCACAGCCCAAGAAUAUAACAGAGCUGCGCGGGUUUUUAGGCCUUACUGGUUACUACAGAAGGUUUGUGGCAGGUUAUGGGAAGAUAGCAAAGCCACUGACAGAAUUACUCAAGAAAGGGAAAUUUGAAUGGUCUGUUGAAGGUACAAGUACUUUUGAGGCUUUAAAAGAGGCGGUUAUCUGUCUUCCAACGUUAGCAUUACCAGAUUUUGAGAAGCCAUUUGUGAUAGAGACUGAUGCUUUAGGCACGGGUAUAGGAGCAGUUCUAUCUCAGGAUAAGCGUCCCAUUGCGUUCAUUAGCCAAGGAUUCUCCAGUAAAGGCAGAGUUAAAUCAAUAUAUGAGAGGAAACUUUUGGCGAUUGUUUUUGUAGUGGAUAAGUGGAAGCACUACCUCACGGGAGAAAAGUCAUUAUCAGGACUGAUUAGAGAAGCCUGAAACACUUACUCAACCAGAAGGCAGUGUCAGCCAUACAACAAAGGUGGGCUUCGAAAUUAGUUAGCCUGGACUAUGAGAUUGAGUAUAAGCAUGACUCAGAAAAUAGAGUAGCAGACGCGCUAUCUAGACGUCCAGUAACCGAGCAAAUAAUGAACAUGCUGUUUCUAGCUUCGGCGACAGUGAACAAGGAAGAACUGUAGGCACAGGUACAAAAUGAUCCCAGCCUCAAACUCAUACAGGAACAACUGCUUAGAGGAGAGGAAGGGGAGAAAGGAUACAGUCUGGUAGCUAACACCUUAUAUAAGGAUGGCAGAAUUGUUAUGCCAGAAAGCUCUCCUUUUAUCCCAAAAUUGCUGGAACAGUUUCAUACUAGUCCCAUUGGAGGACAUGAAGGAGCGUUUAAGACAUUUAAAAGGUUAUCUAGUGAAGUUUACUGGAAAGGCAUGCGCAAGGACGUGGUGGAGUUCCUCAAGGGUUGUCAAGUUUGUCAACAAAACAAGUAUUCUACAUUGUCUCCAGCCGGCCUCUUGCAACCAUUACCCAUUCCGACUAAGGUAUGGUCCAAUAUCAGCCUUGAUUUCAUUGAAGGGCUUCCAGUUUCAAGUGGAUAUGAUGCGGUACUCGUCGUGGUAGAUCGGCUCAGCAAGUAUGGUCAUUUUAUUCCCCUUAAGCAUCCUUACACAGCUAAAUCAGUAGUAGAAGUGUUUAUUAAAGAGAUUGUUAGACUUCAUGGAUUUCUAGAGAGUAUGGUUUCAGAUCGGGACAAGAUUUUUGUCAGUCACUUUUGGUCUGCUCUUUUCAAGUCCCAAGGAACACAUCUGGCUAAGAGCACAGCAUACCACCCACAGUCGGAUGGCCAAACCGAGGUCCUAAACAGAUGCUUAGAGACUUACCUUCGCUGUUUUGUUAAUGGAAAGCCAAAAUCUUGGGCUCAAUUGUUUUCCUGGGCAGAAUACUGGUCUAACACUUCGUUUCAUUCUGCCAUCAAGAUGACUCCAUUUCAGGCCUUGUACGGAAGAGAACCACCGAAACUGUUACGAUUUGGUGACAUCCCAAAAGCUAACGCGGUGGUAGAGGAGAUGCUACAAGAAAGGGACAGAGUGGUCACGAUGCUGAGAGAAAAUCUGCAGGCAGCUCAAGCCCGAAUGCAAAAAUCAGCUAACAAGCAUAGAAGGGAGCUGGAAUUCAUAGUUGGCGAUUGGGUUUAUCUAAAGUUAAGACCUUACAGGCAGGUAACCGUGGCACAGCGUCGCAAUGAGAAGCUAUCUCCCAGAUUUUUUGGUCCUUAUCAGAUUCUUCAAAAAAUAGGUGCAGUAGCCUACAAACUUCAGUUACCAAGCAGCAUCUCCAUACACCCGGUCUUCCAUAUAUCACAGCUGAAGCAUGCGCAACCAAGUUCAGCCCAAGCUCAACCUCUCCCAGCGAUUAUGACUUCUAACUUGGAGUGGGAACCUGAACCUGAAGAUGUACUAGAGAUAAGGGAAAGCAGCACGGGCGCAGAUACUGAGUUAUUGAUUAAAUGGAGAGGUCUGCCAGAGUGUGAGAAUACAUGGGAGCCAAUGAAAGUCAUCAGGCAGCAGUUCCCAGCAUUUCACCUUGAGGACAAGGUGGCUUCGUUACGGGGGAGUAAUGAUAAGGUGGAGACUAUGGAAGGAGAAGCAAGGAAAGGAGAUAGAGCAACAAGGAAGAGGAUUCAAAGAAGAUCUUUGACCCAAGUGGCUAAAGAGAGUUUAAGAAAGUGCAAGGAAACACUCUGUCGCAUCCAGAGGCUUUGAAGUGUCAAAGAAAUAAGUAUGCUAUAGUUCAUAUUAACUGUAUGUUGUUUAAGUAAGAGUCUGAGAGAGUGUGUGUAGUUUUCCAUAGGGAAACUACUAUAAAUGUUGAACUCUACUUUAGGGUUAAGGUAUCAAAGUAUUAAUCAAACUUCCUAUUAUUACUCUCCUCUAUCCUUUAUCCACUCUAUCUUCUUCUUCUUCUUCAUCCGAUUCUAUCUCUUUCUGUUCUUAAUCUUCUUGAUAGGUUCACCACUUAUCACUCGACUUCCUUGUAGAGUGGUGUGAUCGAGUGAUGGUCAAGUGUGGAGGUGAUGAUACUCGACCAGGUGGUAGAGUGAUCGAGUGAAGGUGAUGAAGGUAGUCGACCAUGUGGUAGAGUAGUGUGAUCGAGUGAUGGUCAGGUGGUGGAGGUUAUGAGACUCGACCAGGGGGUCGAGUGGUGAGGUGAAGUGGUGAAGUCCUCUACUCGACCAGGGGGUCGAGUGGUCUGUUGAGGUCGUGAAGCAUCUACUCGACCUGGGGGUCGAGUGGUUUGACAUGAUCAGGAACGCUUCUUCCAAUUAGCUCGUCAACAGCUCCAAAUCACCUGAAAACAACACAAAUAUGCAACAUGCAUGCAAAACUAUCCUAAACAUGCAAAGUGAUGACAAAUGAUAUAAAACAAUGAUGAUAUGAUGAUAAAGUGAUGACAAAUGGAUGCUCAAAACAGGCAAAAUGCACACUUAUCAACUCCCCCAAACUUAGUCUUUGCUUGCCCUCAAGCAAACAAUUAAGAACAAGUAGGAGGUGAGAGUUGAAGGCGGGGACUUUGAGCCAAAGCACCAGAUAAAUCAGAUGAAAUCAAUGUCCAAGUUGAUAGUUCUAAGCUGCGAUAUGAUUGAAUUCUACUCAAAAACGUUAGCUAUGCCUUGUUAUCAAUCAAUCCGACUCUUAUGCUCAGCCUACACAUGUUUUCAAAUCUACCAAUCCCUUUAACAUUCAUUAGUUAUGGAACGUGAAUCAAGCAAUGCAUCUAUCAAUGAACUCAUUUGGCUAAGGUAAAGGUCAAGUGACAAAGAUGGCCCCUUACAGAAUAGGCUUCAGCAAAAGGGGAUCUCUCAAAAAAUGAUUAAGCUUUAGUAGAAUGCUAAAGGUAAGUCCCAAGCUAUGCAUACAGAGAUAAGAUCCCAUCUACCAAGAGUAUAACCAAUGAAGCUCUAAUGGUAAUCCCAUCUCCAAUCCCAAUAUAAGAACUUAACUCUACCCUUUGCAUUCAUGAAUCUUUUAACCCCUUUUUCUAAUCAUUCUUUUCUUUUCUCUUAACUCUAGGAGAAGCUUUCUCAACACUCUGAUACAUCUAGCGGAUUUGUAUUUCUUUAACAACUAAGGAUCCUCUUUUCAAUUUUUAAAACCGAGGACUUUUGCCCUUCUUCAUUAGCUGACAAGAACCCUUUUCUUUUCUUUACAAAUCCCAAAACCUUUACUAGACUUUUUCUACUUCUUUAGCUUACUUCACCUAGAGCCUUUUACCUUUUCUCAUCAAUGAAUCAACUCUUUUGUUUUUUCUUUUUCUUUUAGACACAUCCCAACCCAAAGUAUAAGCACCCACCUAGUCCUAUCUAGUCCGAAAAAUGCGAACUAGAACUACAUGAGACAUUAUCUCUGUCGUUACAAACCUAACACUUUCUACCAAGCUUAAUCGAAAUAAGACCUCAGAAACACUCACAAGUGAUAUAAGGCUUGAAAGAAAGUCUAGAUUUUGGUUCGGGUUAACUGCUCUAAUAAGGAGAGUCAACUACUUGGAUUAACAAGAGUGAUCAAAAUGAAUAAGAAAAUCCAAGUAUUUUAGGGUAUCCAUGAGUUCAAAUUUGAUGCAGACAUGAUAAUUAAAGAUCAGAUUCAGGUUCAAAUUGAUAGGGAAUGGUAUCAGAUCAUGACAGUGUGGUCGAGUAGAGGAAUCUAGGCAUGGUUCGGUUUUACUUCAAUUUCAUUGACUACGCAAAAGACAACUAGCAACGAGGGCACUGAGUUUAUCCAGUGAACCAAAAUGCUUACAAGGCUAUCUCAUCAUUAUUCCCUAUGCAUAUGCAACAAUCCUAAAUGAAACACUCUAUACUCGAUCCUAAAUGUAAUGCAACUACAUGAACACUCUUUUUUUUUGUGAAAUCAUUUUCUGAAAUUUUUCAAUUUUUUUUUGGUUUUUUUAUGCCUUAGAUGAAUGCAGACUCAAGAGUAUAAACAAUGCAACACACACUUCAUGAGCACUCCCCCAAACUAAUCUUGGAAGAGAGUAACUCAGGACAAAUCCAAUCACAGAAACAAAAUAAAGAACAAAUCACAAAAGAUGAUAUAAUACAAUGGUGAAGUGAGGCGCUUACCUCAAUCAAAGAAUGAACGAAGUUGGUCGUCAAUGGCUGCCUGUGAUUGCUCCCAAGCCAUAGACGAGCCACCCUGUUCUGUAUCAGCUCCAGCAGGUGGGUACUCGACCUCAUCAGCUCUGUGGAUACUCGACCUCUCUUCCUCUGCUGCGGCCAGCACCGUGGUCGAGUGAUCUCCUCGAGUGAAUUAGGCAUGAUCUACUGCUAGAGCGAACGAGUGUAGCCUUCCUUCUUCACUUGUGCUCCCGGGACUCGAAUGACGAAUGCCUAGCAGGGACAUGUGAGACUCUCUGCUCACUAAGCUCAGGUCUGUGCUCAGGCUCAUCAAAUCUCCUCAAUGGCAUAUCUAGAGGAGGCUGUCCCUGUGGAAUAGCUGUAGUAGAAGAGGAACAGCUCAGUUAAUCUAUCAGAAACUUGAUAGUCUUAAAGCACUUGGCGAGCCGCUUGUCCUGCUUCUUGCAACACUUCUGCAGCUUAUUGUUGUUCCUAUGAGCUUCACUCAAGCUCUUGCUCUCCCUCGCCAGAGGUACAUGUUCAUCAAAAUGAUACAUGCUAGUGUCGAACUCCACUGCUCUGUCUUCAUCCAUCCCAUCCUAAGCAGCUUCUUCUAUAAGAUCAUCCUCAUCCAAUGGCGGAGCGUUCUCAUAGUAGAGGUUUCCAAGCUCAGGCCGAAAAUCAAUGUUAUCUCCCUCUAUUAUCCGUGUAACCUUAGGGCUGGGGAGAAGGAUGCUAGCUCUCUUAUCCGUAGAGUGCUUAAACCUAAAACAGUGCAUGUCGCCAACCAUUCCGAACUUCAGGACGUAGGAUGCUAACUCCAGGACUUCGCAGUGACGUAGAUGCUUGAUAUCAAUUGCCCGUGGCUCGAGUCCAUCAGAUGUGAUUGGGACUCCACAAGCAAUCAGAAUCGGUGUCACAACACCGACUAUGCAAAGAGCGCCUCGUGCUCUCUUGUGAUUAUUGCUGACAGCCCAGCUCUUGUAUCCACACAGGUGGAUUAGAAGAAGUACAGAGAAAGGUGUGUCAUUGAUUUCACAGAUAUGUUGUUCUUAGUUUGGUAGAGAGUGCCUUUGAGAGCAUAUAGCGAUCAUCUCCAUAUCAGAAUUGGUAACAGUCCCUGUGAUCUCUCUGGAGUAGAGGACAUUGGCUAUAGAACGCUGGAAGUACCUGAUGACAGGGCUGCGUAUCUGAUUGCUCUUUAACCUGGAAGAAUUUAGCGGUACAGAGCUGCCAAUGGUGAUCCAUAAGUCUUUCAACUCUUCUCUGUCAUACUUGGGCUUAGUACCCGUUCCACUGGGGAAACCAAAAAGUCCUUCCAAGCGUUUGAUUGAUAACCUAUACUCAUGACCAUACACAGAGAAUCUCAAGAAUCCCAAUCCUUCGCAAUCCAACUCAUCAGAGGUCAUACCUUGGUAAAGCUCCACUUGCCGUGUGGAGAGGAAUUGAAUUGUCUCUUCUUCAUAUGCUACAUACGGAUAAGCCAUCAGAGUGUCCACAUGACUACUCUGGUACAGGUGUUGAACAUCUUCCAACAAUCCAAGUUAUGCAAGUGUGGUCGAGCAUGGAUACCUUGUGCUACAGAACUCAUUUAGUUUGAAGAGUCUGAUAUACUCCUCAGCAGGUAAUACAUCUGGUUUGUGAAGAAGCUUUGUGGCUCUACUAGUAUGCUCAAGCAUGUACUCGUCUUCUAGAUCCUCAUCUAUAAGCUCGUACCUCUCUGUCAUUGCUCUCUUCCCUCGAGCUAUCUCAGCUUUUCUUCUGAAGCUAUCAAAUUCUAUCUUUUCUCUCUCUGGCCUUGAAGAUGACGACUAUGUCUCAUCCAUGUUGUAGUCAGGAUCAACUGAAGAAUUGCCACUGUAAUUACUCAUGAUUCUCUUGUAGAAGAUUUAGAACUCAAAACUCCAAUAUCAAUAGGAUAGUCUCAAAGAGAACAAUCAAACCAAAAUUGUUAACAACAGACAAUAUAGACCCAAACGGUCAAGUACAAUCAAAUACUCAAGUAAGCUUAACUUUUUCCAAGUUUCUCUUUCACGGGUUGAAUCGAGUGGCUCAGAUAUAAGAGGUCGAGUAAUGUUGAGGAAGUAGUGUGCAGAUGGUGAAUCAGGUUGGUCGAGUAUACCAUAGGUGAGCCAAAAUUGGCAGGGACGAAACCUCAAAUCGACGAUCGAGUACAGUGGAUGUAAUCGAGUAGCUCUUGAGACGACGACGGUAAACGAGGUGGAGACUCGACUUAGACGGGAAGUGACGGUUAACGGCGAAGUGAAGUGGUUGAGUGAUUCAAGGUGAAACGUAAUCGGUGGUCGAGUGGGACUUUGAACUCGACUGCGGCGGCUGUAAUUCUUUCCAGCUGCGGUCGAGUGGUUUCGGCGAGGUCGAGCGUGGCUUGGUUUCAGAGGUCAAGUUGAUUCUUGCGAUCGAGUGGUGGAAAACUGAAUAGAGGUUGGUCGAGUGAAAUUUCAAAAGCAGUGGUGGAGAUUGAGUUUGAGAUUCUCUCUCCAUCUUAUCCUCAGCGCGUGGUCCACACUCUGUUGAUUGGGAAAACUGCAGGAAAUCUACAGUAAACUUGAUUAACUCCCUGUAAGGCUCUGUAGCUUCUGUUGGUCGAGUAAUAUGAUGAUUUAAAAUUUUUUGGUUUUAAACAUCACUCAUACUCGACCAAUGUACUCGAGUGCAAGGUCUCCAUGUGCAACAGAAAAUUUACAAAAUUUUGCACUCCAACGGGCUAUACACUCGAUCUCCAGGUCUUUUGUAAAGUAAAAGUUUUGAAUUUUUACUCUAUCUCCACCUUGUUCCUUUGUUCCUGAGAACCACAAACACAACUAAGACAAAUCAAAAAUAACAACAAAAGAAAAAUUUAUUUACAGAGAUAGUCAUGGGACCUUCCUCCCAAGUGAGCUUGUUUAAAGUCUCUAGCUUGACUGCUCACACUUAUCAAGAAGAAAAUGAAUGAUAGAGAGGGUCUGCAUAGUCCUCUCGGAUAUCAUCAUCAUACUCAGCGUCCUCCCUGGAGAGGUCUGCAGCAGAACACUCAAUUCCCCUUUCUUCAAAACAGGCUUCUUUCUCUUCUAGAGGGUAAUCUAUCUCUUCAGACCAUCUUGAAGUGAACCUUUUUCUCGGGAUAAUGUCAAUUCCGCCUUUAGGUUGAGCUUUCUUCUGCAUCUGAUUCAGCUUACUCUUAAGCUCCUCAAUAGUGUGGGCUAGCUUCCCUAUAGUUUCAUCUUGCUUAUCAGACCUCUUUUUAAGCUCCCUUACUUUUUCAGUCUCAUACGCUUCUCUUGGGAUCACUCUAUCGUCUCCAGAGGGUUUUUCAUAUUCUUUUGACUCUUCUGGAGUUUUGUUGAUGUCAAAUUGCAACUUGAUGUGCUUUCCAAGGUUGAGACUUAUUUUUUCUUCCCUGACAUCUAUCACUGCUCCCACUGAGGCUAAGAAGGGUCUUCCCAGGAUUAAGGGAUCCUUAUGCUCUUCUUCCAUAUCCAGCACCACGAAGUUUGUAGGCACUUCCACUCCAUUAAUCAUGACUGGUAGAUCUUUCAACAUGUCGGAGGGUUUUCUUGAAGACCUAUCUGCAAGGAUCAAAGUCAGGUCACAAGGCCUGUACUAAAUAAAUUCCAACCUUCUUGCCACAGAGAGUGACAUUAAGGUGACAGAGGCUCCGAGAUCGCACAGGCAAUCGCUGAAAGCUAAUUCCCCAAUUGAACAUGGUAGAGUAGAAUAUCCAGGAUCUUCUAACUUUUCUUGAACAAUCCUCUUAUCAGCAACUCGAGAUGGAGUAGCGUCACUAUCAUCAUCUGAAUCGUGAUACAUCUUAAUCCUUUCCAGUAUCAGAUUUCUCACAUCUUUGUGAGGAUCAGGAAUCAGGUUGAGAACUUCCAUCAGUGGCAUCACUGUUUCAUUCUCGUCUAGCUGUUUCGCUGCAACAGACUUGUAUCUCUCCAUCCAUGCUUUCCUGAAUUUCAUGGAAGAGCAUGUGAGGGUAAUGGAGUAGGUUUGAAUCGUUUUACCAUUCUCUCGAUUAUGGCUGCUUUCUCUUCCGAGGUGGAUUAAAUGAGAUGGUGAGAACCAGCAGAAUGGUUGAAUUCUACAACAGAGACCUCAAUCUUGGUUGAAGGCUCCCCUUCUUGAACAUCACUGUCCCCAGUGAUUAAGUCAGGGACAGGUCGAGUUGGCUGCUCUCGAUCCUGGCAGAUAGUGAUGGCGUGAGCAGUUGCAUACUCCUUUGGAUUUUGUAUUGACUUCCCAGGAAGUCCUGUAACUUUAGGACCAGAGGUAGAUGUUGAUUGUCCUUCCAAGUAUCUGACUUUGGUAUUCAAUGUCUCCACUUUGGCAUUCAGGUCAUUGUAGCUAUAGUCCAGCUUAUGGUGCAAUUCAAAUAACUUCUUAGCAAUUUUCAUGGAGCUAGAUGCUUGUCCCUGUAGCAGCUGUUGUACCAUCUGUUUCAUUUCGGGAUCAGGAGCUGCAAGACCUUGGUUUUGCUGAGGUGCAAACCCAGGUGGUGGUUGCGGCUGGUAGUUCCCCUGAAAUUGUUGGGAACAAAUCCUUGAUUGUAAGGAACAAAAGGUUUGUUCUGACCUUGUUGUUGAUGUGGAGGAUACACCUGAUCCUGAGGAUUCGCAACGUUGGUGCUCCGGUAGGAGAGGUUGGGGUUGUUGGUUUUGAAGUUGUUAUACCCUUUGUAGCCACCCUGGUUGUUGUUGAUGUAGCUGACCUCUUCCAACUGGUUACCCUCCCCAUCUUGGACUUGAUACUGCUCGUCAUCAACAAGGAAGUGCACAUGCUUCUACUGGCUAAGAAGAAUCCUUUCCAGCUUGUCGUUCAGCGCUUUGAUCUCCUUCUUGUGUUUGUCAUCAGAGUCAGCUGUGCUUCUGAUGGUCCUAUCGUAGUCCUCAUUGUAAUUACCAUCUAAUUGAGCUAGGUUCUCAACCAAUUCCCAGCCUUCUUCAACAUCCUUGUUCUGGAAAUUCCCAUUGUUGGCGGUAUCCAGAAGCAUUCUGAUGCGUGGUAAAACGCCUAUCUAUGGAGUGCUUAGCAGAGAGGCUUUCGUGAAGCAAUGAUGAGGGCAUUGGUUGAUGUAACCUCUGAAACGCUCCCAUGCUUCAUAGAAGCUUUCACCCGUCUUCUGUGAAAAAUCAGAAAUCUUAUUUCUGAGUUUUGCAGUUCUGGCGUUGGAGAAGAACUUUGAUAGAAAGUCCUGUGGAGUAAACAAUAAAAUCAAUCAGAUAAAGAAUUCCCGAGGAUGGGGUAAUUGAGUAGUUUCGUUUCCUCAGUUAACAGGUGACUGACAUGCUCAAUAAAUUAUCCCUAGACAACAAGUUCAUUAACCAAAUCUAAGUGCCACCGCAACAAAGACCCUCAAGUUAACCUAGUCCCAGACUCAAUCACCAUUGACGAGAGCUAACCUAACAGGCAUUACGAAUCAACAAGUUAAAGCCAAAACGCUCCCUACAACCAAUACCUUGGUACAGAGCCACAAAUCUCUGGAAUUAGUGGUUCAGACAUUUCAUCGAACACCUUUUGGGCGCAGAAAUGUCUGGGCUCAAAUUCUAGUUGAUUAGAAAGCAAUAGGGAUUAAGAACAACUAAUCCAGAAGGGAUCUAUCAAUCAAUACUCAACCACCUAGCAAACUGAGAAUUCUACACUACUCUAAUCCAUCCUCAGAAACCUAUUCACUACUCAGACAUCAUUAUAGAGAACAUAAACGUUGAACAGGAUGAAAACAUGAUAACAAUAAUAUAAUAGCAAAACGAUAACAGGAUGAACAACAAUAAACGAAAUCAAGAACAAAUACUGAAUACUGAGUAGAUAAAGAGAAAUCCGGAUUACAAAAGGUCUAGAACACAGUGUCUGCGGAAUAAAACUAGAUAAAAACCUCUUCUCGAAAAUGUAAAGUACAUGCUUAUUAUAGCAAAAUAUUCUGAAACUCUAAUACUCAAAAUGACGCAGUAUUGGGACGGAUUAAGAACUGUACUCGACCCUGAUGGUCGAGUGAGAGGUCGAGUGAUAUGCUGGAGUCUUCUAUUCUUCCUUGUGCUCGAGUGUCUAGUUGAGUGCAGAAAUGAAGAAGACUCUGAAGCUCGCCAUAGAGUAUGUAGUCGAGUGGUGGUGGUGAAGACACUCGACCUGGGGGUCGAGUGAUGUGAUCGAGUGACUGGUCAGGUUGUGGAGGUGAAUACACUCGACCAGGUGGUCGAGUGAGGUGAUCAAGUAUCUCUCGUGGUGGUACUCGGCCAGGGGGUCGAGUGAUGAGAUGAAAUUGUGAAGUCCCCUACUCAGCCAGGGGGUCGAGUGGUCUGUUGAGGUCUUGAAGCUUCUACUCGACCUCGGGGUCUAGUGGUUUGACAUGAUCAGGUCCGCUUCUUCCAGUUAGCUCGUCAACAGCUCCAAAUCACCUGAAAUCAACACAAAUAUGCAACAUGCAUGCAAACCUAUCCUAAACAUGCAAAGUGAUGACAAAUGAUGAGAAAUGGUAUUAUACAGUGAUGAUAUGGUGCUUAAGUGAUGACAAAUGGAUGCUCAAAACAUGCAAAAUACACACUUAUUAACUCCCUAAUAAUAUGUUUUUAGUCAAUUAUCCUUAAACACCAAUCAUGUCUUUGUAGUAUUUUAGGUGUCAAUCCAAAUGGGUGUGAUGCAAACAGAUGAGAUGUGAUCAGAAGUCACUAAGUCAAGCCAAGCAAUAACAGUAUUGGGGUUUCUUACAGUCCUAAGUGAACAUGCAGAAAACAGAAACAAUAAUAGAAUUACUAAAAUCACCCGACCACAACAGGCUGAUGCAAGAAGUAGGAUGUGAUCGAGUAAGAGGCAGGAUAUGAAACAAAUAUACUCGAUUGCACAGUCUAUUGCCAGACACUGGGUCUGGUCGAGUAUACAUGUCGAGUAACAGACAGGAAAUGAGACAGCUGUACUCGAUUGCACAGUCUGUUGCCAGACACUGGGUGUGGUCAAGUAAGUUGGUCGAGUAAUUGCAAAAACUAAGAAACAGGCAAUGAAAACGAUUAAGUGAUAACAAUAAAACGGAGAAAUCAGAUAGACGAGAAAUUCCUAAGGAUGGGGUAAUCAAGUAGAGUUGUAUCCUAGCCUAUUCGAAUGGUUAACAAGCGCAAUCAAGCUAUCCCUAGACUGAUCAAUUAACUCCCGUGAUAGAAAUCCUCAAGCAAAGCUAGCCCAGACUAAUUUCUAUUAACGGAAUCUAACUAUGCAGGCAAUAAGAACAGACUGAUAAAGUCAAUAAACGCUCUAAUCGGCCAAUCCCUUGGGAUAGAGACGAAUAUCUCAGGAACUAGUCGAUCGAACAUUCCAUCGAACACCUUCUGGGUGCGGGAAUGCUUUGCUUGAAUUCCAGUUGAUCAGAAAGAAAUAAGCAGUAAACGCAACUAGUCCUGAAGGGAUUCAAUCAAUUCUAAAAUUUAACCAUUCUACAGACUACGGAUUCCACAAAUACUCUAUCCCAUCCCUAAGAAUUCUAAGUCACUACUCAGACAACAUGCUCAAAGACAUAAACGCAGAUAAAUGAUAAUAUUGCAUAAGUAAAGAGAUAAAGAGUAGAGAAACAAGAUGACAGAUGAAAUCAAAUGCGGAAUCUGAAUAACUUGGAAAAAUCUCGAAUUACUGGUUGCAGAAGCAAAAGCGGCACAGCAGAGUAAAACAGAAAAUAAAACUGAAGCAAAAACUCAAUGUCGACUAGAUGUCUCAGGACAGAACCCUAAGACAUCUAUUUAUACAAAACGAAAUAAAAUGAUAGUAGACGGGCCAAUAACCUAAUCGCCCGGCCCAUAGAAUGAUAAUGGGCCGAGAUGGGCUUCGUGAUCCGAUGGAGGUCUAGGCCGCUUCUAAACACUUUGUCUUCUCCUCUUCUCUUCCUUGUGCUCAGCUUGUCUGGUUGAGUGCGGAUUUGAUUAGACUAUAAAGACGUGAUCGAGUGUCCGGUCGAGUGAUGGUGAUGGUGGUGAGUGAUGAUACUCGACCAGGGGGUCGAGUAACUUGGUAGAGUGAAUGGCUGAGUGUGGUCAGGUUGUGUGGCGAAGUGAUAUUCGACCAGGGGGUCGAGUGGCGUCAUCGAGUGGCCUGAGCUGAGGAUACUCGACCAGGGGGUUGAGUAGGUGGGAAGAAUAGCUCCAAAGUUACUCGACUUGGGGGUAGAGUAUAGUGCUGGAUGCACACGACCUGGUGGUCGAGUAUGUCUUCUGGUUCUGGCUCGUUUCUUCAAAUUUGCUCGCAAACAGCUCCAAAUCAUCUGAAAACAACUCAGAAAUGCAAUAUGUAUGCAAAGCUAUCCUAAUCAUGCAAAGUAUGCAAGAAUGAUGAGAAAUGAUAUAAAACAGUGAUGAAUGAUACAAAACUGGACUCAAAACGAUGAUGAAUGGACACUGAAAACAUGCAAAUUAUAGACAUAUCAACUCCCCCAAACUUAGUCUUUGCUUGCCCUCAAGCUAAUAAGAAGACAUAGUUGAAGGAGAGGUUUGAAGGCGGGGACUCAGAACCAAAGCAUAUGAUAGAGCGAAUAAAAUCAAUGUCCAAGUUGGUAGUUCUAAGAUGCGAUAUGAUUGAAUUUUACUCAAAAACGUUAGCCAUGCCUUGUUAUCAAUCAAUCCGUCUCUUAUACUCGACCUACACAUGUUUUCAAAUCUACCAAUCCCUUUAACAUUCAUUAGUUCUGGAACGUGAAUCAAGCAAUGCAUCAUCAAUGAACUCAUUUGGCUAAGGUGAAGGUCAGGAGACAAAGAUGGUCCCUCACAAAAUAGGCUUAAGUACCAAGGGAUCUCUCAAGAAUGAUUGAGCUUUAGUAGAAUGCUUAAGGUAAGUCCCAAGUUAUGCAUAUAGAGAUAAGAUCGCAUCUACCCAGAGUAUAACAAUGAAGCUCUAAUGGUAAUCCCAACUCCAGUCCCAACUUAACUCUACCCUUUGCACUCAUGAAUCUUUCAAACUUUUUUUUUUCUUUUUCAAAUCAUUCUUUUCUUUUCUCUUAACUCUAAGAGAAGCUUUCUCAACACUCUGACACAUCUAGCGGAUUUGGAUUUCUUUAACAACUAAGGUUCCUGUUUUUAAUCUUUAAAACCAAAGGCUUUUAACCCUUCUUCUUUAGCUAACAAGAACCUCAUUCUUUUCUUUAACAUUCCCAAAACCUUUACUAGAUUUUUUUUCUAACUUCUUUUAGCUUACUUCCCCUAGAAUUCUUUCCCUUUCCUUAUCAACAAUGAAUUCACCCUUUUCUUUUAAACACAUCCCAACCCGUGAUAUAAGCGCCCACCUAGUCCUAUCCAGUCCGAAAACGCGAACUAGAACUACAUGAGACACUAUCUCUGUCGUUACGAACCUAACACUUUCUACCAAGCUCAAUUGAAAUAAGACCUCACAAACACUCACAAGUGAUAUAGGGCUCGAAAGAAAGUUUAGGUUUUGGUUCGGGUUAACUGCUCUAAUAAGGAGAGUCAGCUACUUGGACUAACAAGAGUGGUUAAAAUGAGUAAGAAAAUCCAAGUAUUUUAGGGUAUCCAUGAGUUCAAAUUCGAUGCCAAGACAUGAUAAUUCUAAAUCAGAUUCAAGUUCAAAUUGAUAGGGAAUGGUAUCAGAUCCAAACAGUGUGGUCGAGUAGAGCAAUCUAGGCAUGGUGCAGUUUUACUUCAAUUUCAAUGACUACGCAUCAGACAACUAACAACGAGGGCACUGAGCUUAUCUGGUGAACCAAAAUGCUUACAAGGCUAUCUCAUCAUUAUCCCCUAUGCAUAUGCAACAAUCCUAAACGAAACACUCUAGACUCGUUCCUAAAUGCAAUGCAACUACAUGAGCACUCUAUUUUUGUGAAAUCAUUUUCUGAAAUUUUUCAAUUUUUUUGUUUUUUCCUAUGCCUUAGAUGAAUGCAGACUCAAGAUUAUAUACAAUGCAACACACAUUGCCUGAGCCCUCCCCCAAACUUAAAUCACACAGUCCACUGUGUGACCAAAUUUGGAAGAGAGUACUCAGGACAAAACACAUCACAGAAACAAAAUAAAAACAAGAGAUGGUAUAUUACAAUGGUGGAGUGAGGUGCAUACCUCAGUGGAAGAAGGAGCAGAGUUGGUCGUCAAUAGCUGCCUGUGAUUGCUCCCAGGCCAUCGAAGAAUCUCCCAGUUGUGUCUCAGCUUCCCCCUAGGGGUACUCGACCUCUGCUCCUUCGUCGCGGCCCGCACCGCUCUGAUGAUACUCGACCUCUCUUCUUCUGCUGCGGCCAGCACCGUGGUCGAGUGAUUUACUGACAUGGAGAAGUUUUGAUUGCACCACUCGCUAUACUCGAUCACAUCGUCAUUCAGUCCCUGUAGGGUGUGGUCGAGUGAUUUCAUGGGGUGGAGAAACCAGAACAAUGUCGAGUAUCCUUGAUUGCUCUUUGGUCGAGUGUAUUGCUGUUCCCUCAAAGCCAGAAUCUAUUUCCGUCAGCUCUUCAUACUUAUCGCCUGAAAACACUAACAAGAUGCAUCAAAAACAACAAGAAAAAUUAAAGAUAUGUACAAAGAUAGGCAUGGGACUUCCUCCCAAGUGAGCUUGUUUUAGGUCUCUAGCUUGACUCUUCAUACUCAUUAGGCGUUUAUAGGCUCAUCCAAAGGAACAGAAGUUCCUUCUGGAAUAAACUGAUCUAUCAUGUAUUUCUUGAGCCGUUGUCCAUUGACUGUGAAGUCUCCAUUCUUUCCAGCUAGAGUGAUAGCACCAUAAGGUCGGACUGCAGUAACAGAGAAAGGACCAGACCAUCUAGACUUGAGCUUGCCUGGAAAAAGCCUCAAGCGAGAGUUGAACAGCAACACUUGAUCACCAACCUUAAAAUCUCUUGAGACUAUCUUCUUGUCAUGGAAAGACUUGGUUCGCUCCUUGUAGAUUUUGGAACUCUCAUAAGCUUCUAAGCGAAUCUCGUUGAGAUCGUUCAGUUGGAUCAAUCGCUUCUCCUUGGCGGUUUUAAUGCCAAAGUUCAGGAGUUUAACUGCCCACAUGGCUUUAUACUCGAGUUCAACAGGCAAAUGACAGGAUUUUCCAUAGAGGAGGUUGAAAGGAGUCGUUCCAAUAGGGGUCUUGAAGGCUGUUCUGUAAGCCCAUAGUGCGUCAUCGAGCUUAGUAGACCAAUCUUUCCUUGUAAUUCCCAUUGUUUUCUCUAAAAUUGCUUUUAUCUCCCUGUUGGAGAUUUCCACCUGCCCGCUCGUCUGUGGAUGAUAAGGAGUGGCUACCUUGUGCUUUACUCCAUGCUUCUUCAAAAGGUUCUCAAAAACCUUGUUGAUAAAAUGUUUCCCUCCGUCACUGAUCACAACUCUCGGGACUCCAAAUCUAGGGAAGAUAAUUGUCUUGAACAGCUUUAGCACAACUCUAGCAUCAUUGGUGGGGCUGGCUAUGGCUUCCACCCAAUUGAUACAUAGUCUACUACGACCAGUAUGUACUUGUUCCCGUAAGAAAAAGGAAACGGACCCAUAAAAUCAAUUCCCCAAACGUCAAAGAUCUCAACUUCUAAGAUCGGAUUCUGAGGCAUCUCAUUCCUUCUGCUGAUGUUCCCUUUCCUUUGACAUGAGUCACAUUUCGAGAUAAAUUCCUGAGCAUCCUUAAACAUUGUCGUCCACCAAAAACCAGCUUGCAAGAUUUUUGACACUGUCUUGAACGUUGCAAAGUGGCAACCAUAGGCGGACCCAUGGUAGUGCAGUAGGAUGCCUUCGAUUUCGUCUUCUGAAACGCAUCUCCUGUAGAUCUUAUCCUUGCAGAGUGUGUAGAGAUAAGGUUUGUCCCACUAGAAGUGGUUAAUGUCCUUGAAGAACUUCUUCUUCUCAUAGCUCGACAAAUUCGGAGGCUCUUCACCACUAACCAAGUAGUUGACGUGAUCAGCAUACCACAAAAGCUUUUCUUCAAUUGCACAUACUUGAUCGAGUGAUUUCCGAAUUUGAGCACUCUCGUUAAGUUGCUGAAUUGCCAUUAGCUGUUCUUCUGGCAUGGAAUCGUCAAUAGGGACCUCGUCUUCAAUUCUCAUUCUAGUUAGAUGAUCAGCUACACCGUUUUAAAUUCCCUACUUAUCAAUUAUCUCCAUAUCAAACUCUUGGAGCAAUAAGAUCCAUCUCAACAGCCUAGGUUUGGUAUCCUUCUUCGCGUAUAUAUGCCUCAGAGCAGCAUGAUCAGUGUAGACUGUCACCUUAGAGCCGACUAGGUAGCUUCUAAAUUUUUCGAAUGCAAAUACCACAGCUAGCAGUUCCUUCUCUGUAGUGGCAUACCUUACCUGUGCAUCAUCCAUCGUUCUUCUCGCGUAGUAUAUCACAUGCAACGUUUUAUCAAUCCUCUGGCCCAAAACUGCUCCUACUGCAUAAUCUGAAGCAUCGCACAUGAUCUCGAAUGGGAAGUCCCAGUUUGGAGCUUGGACUAUUGGGGCCGUGACCAAAGCUUCCUUGAUUAACUUAAAGGCUGUCAAACAUUCUUCAUCAAAUGUAAACUCGGCUUCCUUGCACAGUAGUCUUGUGAGCGGUCUUGCCAACUUGGAGAAAUCCUUGAUGAAUCUUUUGUAAAACCCUGCAUGUCCAAGAAAACUCCUGAUGUCCUUGACAGUCUUUGGUGGCUAUAACUACAUCAUCACGUCAACCUUAGCCUUAUCAACCUCUAUCCCCUCCUCAGAAAUUUCGUGCCCCAAAACGAUGCCUUCUCUAACCAUGAAAUGGCAUUUCUCCGAGUUCAGCACCAGGUUUGUCUCUGCACAUCUUUUGAGUACCCUUCAUAGGUUCAACAAACACGAGGAGAAGGAAGAGCCAUACACAGAAAAAUCAUCCAUGAAUACCUCUACCAUCUCCUAUAUCAAAUCCGAGAAAAUGGAAGUCAACCACCGCUGAAAAGUAGCAGGUGCAUUACAGAGACCGAAAGGCAUACGCUUGUAAGCAAAGGUCCCAUAAGGACAAGUAAAAGUAGUUUUCUCUUGGUCAUUUGGGUGAAUAGGGAUUUGAAAAAAUCCGCUAUAGCCAUCCAACAAGCAAUAGUAAGGAUGGUUUGCUAAUCUUUCUAGCAUUUGAUCAAUGAAGGGCAAUGGGAAAUGGUCUUUUCUAGAGGCAGCAUUUAACUUCCUAUAGUCAAUACACAUCCUAUGUCGAGUUAUAGUCCUAGUGGGUAUCAGUUCAUCUUUAGCAUUUUUAACAACUGUCAUACCUCCCUUUUUAGGAACGCAGUGAACUGGAGAUACCCAAGUGCUAUCAGAGAUAGGGUAAAUAACCCCAGCAUCUAAUAGUUUAAGUAUCUCCUUUUUCACAACCUCUUUCAAGUUUGGAUUUAAUCUCCUUUGAGGUUCAAUGCUAGAGUAGGAUUCAUUUUCAAGAUGGAUUCUAUGGGUGCACAAGGUGGGUGAAAUCCCCUUAAUAUCAUCUAACGAAUAUCCUAUAGCUUUCCUAUACUUCUUGAGCUCAGUUAUCAGCAGGUUUACUUGAUCAGCAGUUAGCUCAUCAUUCACUAUGACAGGAUAAGUAGAGUUUAGUCCAAGAAAAACGUACCUUAGCCCUUUUGGUAGCGGUUUCAAAUCUACUUUGGGUGCCUUGAGUUCAGACCAGUCAUCGGAUACUAAGUUGGCUUCAGAGGAGGGGUUGUGGUCGAGUAGUUCGGUCGAGUACACUGAAUGGACUGUUAGUCGAGUGAUGUGGUCAAGUAUAUAUUCCUUCCUUGCUCUUUCACCCAAAUCUUCAUAUUCUCCUGGAUUCUCAACUGCUUUGUGUUCAUCUAACAGCUUCUGGUACCCUAGAGUCUCCAAAUGUAAAUCUCCUUCUUAGCUAUCCUUUGUUAGAGCACUCUGUUGAUGAUCUGUUUCUCUUAGCUCUUCUAGCAUUUCGUCAGCUAACAUAUCCAUCUCUUCAAUCCAGAAAACAUUUCCUUCUAUUGUAGGUUUCUUCAUGGUGUUGGUGAUAUCGAAGGUCAUCUUGAGAUCUCUCCCGAGGUUAAGAUCGAUCUUUCCCUUCUUAACAUCAAUGAUAGCUCCGACUGUAGCUAAAAAUGUUCUUCCCAAUAUCAAAGGGUCUUUAGGUUCUUCAUCCAUUUCUAGAACCACAAAGUCUGUAGGUACUUCGACCACGCCUUUCAUGACUGGUAAGUCUUCCAGGAGACCAUGGGGAAUUCUAACAGAUCUGUCAGCCAGGACCAGGGAUAUUUGUUUGUGUGAAACCAGAGAUAUCAUUCCUUAGUCUCGCAGUCCAGGAGUUUGAGAACAACUUAGCCAAGAAGGCUUUCUUGCAGUCAUUCCUGGAGGUGAUAGAGCCUUGAGGAAGCGAUUUUUCCCACUGAUGGGCUUUGUCUCCAAGAGAGAAUGGAAACAAUCUGAGCUUGAAGUCAUCCUCACUAACUCCAUUGAUCUUUGUUAGGCUGCAGAGCCUAUCAAACUCGUCCAGGUGAUCGAGUGGAUCCUCCAUAGGGAGGCCGUGGAAGUUGUUGCUCUGAACCAUGGCAAUGAGACCGCUAUUGAUCUCAAAGUUGUUGUUCUGCACUGGUGGAGGCACGGAUCCAUUACGCUGAUUGUGGUUGCGUGGUGCAUCGCCUGCACCUAUGUUGUUUGGUUGCACUUGCUCAUCUACAACUGUAGCCAUUGUGUCUGUUUCUGUCUGUGUUCUGAGUUGGCGUGCAAUACGGUCGAUAUUAUCGUUGAACAGGAGAUUCUGAUUUCCUCGUGACCGUGUUUGCAUACAACGAGUACCAACUGAUGAAGCUAGUGAUAGAAAUCCUCAAGCAACAGGUUUAACAACAAAUCAAUUCACUCCCGUGAUAGAAAUCCUCAAGCAAAGCUAGCCCAGACUAAUUCCCAUUAACGGAAUUUAACUAUGCAGGCAAUAAGAACAGACUGAUAAAGUCAAUAAACGCUCUAAACGGCCAAUCCCUUGGGAUAGAGACGCAUAUCUCAGGAACUAGUGGAUCAAGCAUUCCAUCGAACACCUUCUAGGUGCGGGAAUGCUUGAGAUCGAAUUCCAGUUGAUCAGAAAGAAAUAAGCAGUAAACGCAACUAGUCCUGAAGGGAUUCAAUCAAUUCUAAAACUUAACCAUUAUACAGACUACGAAUUCCACAACUACUCUAUCCCAUCCCUAAGAAUUCUAAGUCACUACUCAGACAACAUGCUCAAAGACAUAAACGCAGAUAAAUGAUAAUAUUGCAUAAGUAAAGAGAUAAAGAGUAGAGAAACAAGAUGACAGAUGAAAUCAAAUGCGGAAUCUGAAUAACUUGGAAAAAUCUCGAAUUACUGGUUGCAGAAGCAAAAGCGGCGCAGCAGAGUAAAACAGAAAAUAAAACUGAAGCAAAAACUCAAUGUCGACUAGAUGUCUCAGGACAGAACCCUAAGACAUCUAUUUAUACAAAACGAAAUAAAAUGAUAGUAGACAGGCCAAUAACCUAAUCCCCGGCCCAUAGAAUGAUAAUGGGCCGAGAUGGGCUUCGUGAUCCGAUGGAGGUCCAGGCCGCUUCCAAACACUUUGUUUUCUCCUCUUCUCUUCCUUGUGCUCAGCUUGUCUGGUUGAGUGCGGAUUUGAGUAGACUGUGAAGACGUGAUCGAGUGUCCGGUCGAGUGAUGGUGAUGGUGGUGAGUGAUGAUACUCGACCAGGGGGUCGAGUAACUUGGUAGAGUGAAUGGCCGAGUGUGGUCAGGUGGUGUGGCGAAGUGAUACUCGACCAGGGGGUUGAGUGGCAUCAUCGAGUGGCCUGAGCUGAGGAUACUCGACCAGGGGGUCGAGUAGAUGGGAAGAAUGGCUCCAAAGUUACUCGACUUGGGGUCGAGUAUGGUGCUGGAUGCACAGGACCUGGUGGUCGAGUAUGUCUUCUAGGUCUGGCUCGUUUCUUCCAAUUUGCUCGCAAACAGCUCCAAAUCACCUGAAAACAAAUCAGAAAUGCAAUAUGUAUGCAAAGCUAUCCUAAUCAUGCAAAGUAUGCAAGAAUGAUGAGAAAUGAUAUAAAACAGUGAUGAAUGAUACAAAACUGGACUCAAAACGAUGAUGAAUGGACACUGAAAACAUGCAAAUUAUAGACAUAUAACUCCCCUAAACUUAGUCUUUGCUUCCCCUCAAGCAAACAAUUAAGAACAAGCUGGUGGUGAGGUUUGAAAGCGGGGACUUAUAGCCAAAGCACCUGAUAAACCAUAUGAAAUCAAUGUCCAAAUUGAUAGUUCUAAGCUGCAAUAUGAUCGAAUUCUACUCAAAAACGUUAGCCAUGCCUUGUUAUUAAUCAAUCUGACUCAUAUGCUCGACCUACACAUGCUUUCAAAUCUACCAAUCCCUUUAACAUUCAUUAGUUCUGGAACGUGAAUCAAGCAAUGCAUCAUCAAUGAACUCAUUUGGCUAAGGUAAAAGGUCAAGAGACAAAGAUUGUCCCUUACAGAAUAGGCUUCAGUAACAGGGGAUCUCUCAAAAAAUGAUUAAGCUUUAGUAGAUUGCUAAAGGUAAGUCCCAAGCUAUGCAUAUAGAGAUAAGAUCCCAUCUACCCAGAGUAUAUCAAAUGAAGCUCUAAUGGUAAUCCCAUCUCCAAUCCCAAUAUAAAAACCUAACUCUACCCUUUGCAUUCAUGAAUCCUUUAUGCCCUUUUUCUAAUCAUUCUUUUCUUUUCUCUUAACUCUAGGAGAAGAUUUCUCAACACUUUGAUACAUCUAGCGGAUUUGGAUCUCUUUAACAACUAAGGUUCCUGUUUUUAGCAUUUUAAAACCGAGGGCUUUUGCCCAUCUUCAAUAGCUAACAAGAACUCUUUCUUUUCUUUACAAAUCCCAAAACCUUUACUAGAUUUUUUCUGCUUCUUUAGCUUACCUUACCUAGAGUCUUUUACCUUUUCUCAUCAGAAAAUCCAAGUAUUUUAGGGUAUCCAUGAGUUCAAAUUUGAUGCAAACAUGACAAUUAAAGAUCAGAUUCAGGUUCAUAUUGAUAGGGAAUGGUAUCAGAUCAUGACAGUGUGGUCGACUAGAGCAAUCUAGGCAUGGUUCAGUUUUAUUUCUAAUUCAUUGACUACGCAACAGACAACUAGCAAAGAGGGCACUAAGUUUAUCCGGUGAACCAAAAUGCUUACAAGGCUAUCUCAUCAUUAUCCCCUAUGCAUAUGCAAAAAUCCUAAAUGAAACACUCUAGACUCGAUCCUAAAUGUAAUGCAACUACAUAAACAUUCUUUUUUUUGUGAAAUCAUUUCUGAAAUUUUUCAAAAUUUUUUUGGUUUUUCUAUGCCUUAGAUGUAUGCGGACUAAAAAAUAUACACAAUGCAAUACACACUUCCUGAGCCCUCCCCAAAACUUAAAUCACACAGUCCACUGUGUGGAUAAACUUGGAAGAGAGUACCCAGGACAAAUCCAUUCACAGAAACAAAAUAAAGAACAAAUCACAAGAGAUGAUAUAAUACAAUGGUGAAGUGAGGCGCUUACCUCAGUCGAAGAAUGAACGAAGUCGGUCGUCAAUGGCUGCUUGUGAUUGCUCCCUGGCCAUAGACGAACCGCCCUGUUCCGUAUCAGCUCCAGUAGGUGGGUACUCGACCUCCUCAGCUCUGUGGCGGCCAUCACCGCUCUGAGGAUACUCGACCUCUCUUCUUCAUGUAAACUACGAGAAUGCAGAAGUCGUCUACCCUUGUUGUUAGAUUGAGUGAGUGUGGUCCUCCUCUUCCUCCCAGAUUCAUGAGGCUCGAAUGAUGAAUGCCUCGCAGGGACAUGCAGAAUCUCCUGCUCUCUAGGCUCAGGUUUGCGCCGAAUUGGCUCGGGCGCGUCAUAUCUCCUCGAAGGCAUGUCCUGAGGGAGCUGUCCCUGUGGAAUAGCUGUAGUGGAAGUGGAGCAGCUGAUCUUAUCCUUCAGAAACUUGAUAGCCCUGAGGCACUUGGCGAGAAACUUAUCCUGUUUCUUGCACCACUUCUGCAGCUUGAUGUUAUUCCUGUGAGCUUCGCUCAAACUCUUGCUUUCCCUCGCUGGAAGUAUAUGCUCACUGAAAUGAUACAUGCUCGUGUCAAACUCCGCCUAAUCUAUGUCAUCUGUCUCAUCAACAUCUUCUGUUAUAGCUCCUUCGGUGUGACUAAUCUCCUCAGUUGGCAGACUGCCCUCGAAAUAAAGAUCUUCAAGCGCAGGCUUGAAGUCAAUGUUCCUGCCCUCAAGAAUCCUAGUAGCAUCAAUGUAGGGGAGAAGAAUGUUGGCGAUUCUAAUCGAUGAAUGCUCGAACCUGUAGCGGUGAAAGUCGCUAGCCAUGUCAAACUCCAAGAACUCACAUCGGCGCAAGUGAUCCAAGUCCAUCAUUCUCGGUGCUAACCCUGGUUCCUUAAGCGGUACUCCACAAGCUUCCAGAAUUGGCGUCACAACGCCAUCCAUGCAUAGUGCUCCUGUCACCUUAUUCUUGUCGUUCGUCAACGCCCACUUCCUAUAUCCACACAGGUGGAUCAACAGAGGCAUGACUAGUGGUGCGUUGUUGAGAUCGCCUCUCAAGACAUUCUUUCCCUUUGUACAGCAGAGAAUCCCUGUAAGCGCGGAAUCUAUCAUCUCCAUGUCCGUGUUAGACACGGUGCAUGUAGACUCCCUAGAGUAAAAAACGUUGGCAACCGAGCGGUGAAAGUAGCGGAUCACAGGACUCCGGAUUUGGUUGCUUUUGGACCGCGCCAAGUUUAGCGGUAAAUUAUUCCCAAUAGUAGCCCACAAAUCCUUAAGCUCUUCCCUGUCAAACCUGGUUUUGGUUCCCUUUCCACUAGGGAAACAAAACAGUUCUUCCAACUUCUUGAUCGAAAGCUGAUACCACUGUUCAUCCAUUGAGAACGUCAAGAACCCUAACCCUAAACCCUAAACCCUAAACCCUAAACCCUAAACCCUAAACCCUAAACCCUAAACCCUAAACCCUAAACCCUAAACCCUAAACCCUAAACCCUAAACCCUAAACCCUAAACCCUAAACCCUAAACCCUAAACCCUAAACCCUAAACCCUAAACCCUAAACCCUAAACCCUAAACCCUAAACCCUAAACCCUAAACCCUAAACCCUAAACCUUAAACCCUAAACCCUAAACCCUAAACCCUAAACCCUAAACCCUAAACCCUAAACCCUAAACCCUAAACCCUAAACCCUAAACUCAAUGUAUGUGAGUCCCUCAUACAUCUCCACUUGCAGUGUGGAAAGAAACUCGAUUGUCUCCUCCUUAUAGGAAGCGUAAGAGUAAGACAUGAGUGUUUCCAGAUGCCACUUCUCGAACAGAUGCUGCACGUCCUCCAGUAACCCCAGCUGGGCUAAAGUCUCAUAGUAGGGAUACCUCGUUCCCCAUAAAUCAUUCAUCUCAAAGAAUCUGAUAUACUCCUCCACUGUAACCUAUUCGGGUUUGUUCAGUAGCUUCGUCUUCUUGCACCAUGACUUUGGCUCAUACUCAGUUUUGAUGUCCUCAUCAAUCAGCUCAUAUCUACUGGGCAUCGCUCUCUUCCCUCUGGUGAUUUCUGCUCUUCUCUGAUUACGUCGAGCAGAGGAGCGUUGAAAUUCAUCCCUGAAGCUCUCGUAAACAUGUUCCUCUCUCUCCGGUCUAGAGGACCAGGACUCAGCUUCAUCCACAUUAUAAUCAGGAUCCAUAGAGGAUUCUCGACUGUAGUUACUCAUGAUCAAACCUGUAAACAAUUGAAACUCAAAGAUAAACGUUAAUAAGUUAGUCUCAACAAAACCAAAAACACAAACCAACACAGUAAACCGGUCGAGUGAUGUAAUCGAGUAAACCUUCGUUUAAUUUUUUUUUUUUUUUCUUUUCUUUCGGUUGAUCAAGUGAUUUCGUACGACCGAGUGAAGUUCGUUUCGUGGUAAGAGUGAUGCGUAGGUCGAGUGGUGAGCUUGAAGAGGAGGAGAUAUGGUGAUGCGGUUUGAAAGAGGUUAAGUGAAAAUGGAGGAGCGGUGAUUCGAGUGAUUGUGGUGGUUGAGAGGCGAGGUGAGCUGAAUGAUUCCUCGGUUGCGAAUGUGAGAAGAGAAGACGCGAUCGAGUGAAGAGGCGAUGAAGAAGUUUAUUAUGAGGGAUCGAGUGAAGUGGAGCUCACGGAAGAAGAGAAGAUGGUGGUGGCUUUGGUGAAGAGGUGAGUUGCCGCAAUCGAGUGGUUGUGAGCUUGGAGGUCGAGUGAUUAAAACGAACACUUGAAGACUUGAAUUGCAAUGAGCGACGAUGGGAGAUGAGAGAGUUGCGAAAAGUUUGGUGUGUGGAGAAAGAUGUUGAGGUCGAGUAUAUGAAGAGGAUGGUGAGGAGGUCGAGUGGAUGAGAGUAUGAGAGUUGGGUUGUUGGUUGUAAUGAAUGAGGAGGGAUGGGGUCGAGUUAAUAGGUGUGGAGGAGAUAACGAGGUCGAGUAAGUGAUAGGUGUGGGAUGGGGAUGGCGUCGAGGUUGAGUGGAGAUAGGAUAAGGUGAGGGGGUCGAGUGGUUGUGAGAAGAAAGAGUUGGAUUUCUUGUCUGUUGGUUAGGAGCGUGGGAGACAUAGGGUGCAGCAGUGGGUCCCUCGUCUGUCUCCUUAUUCUAAAUUAUUAUUCUUUCUUCACUAGGAAAGUCUCAGGAAAUCCAACAAUCUUCUGUAAACUUAAUAAACUUCCUGUAAGAACUUGUAGCUUCUGUUGGUCGAGUGAAAUGAUGAUUUAAAAGUUUUAGAUUUUAAACACUCAACCAAUGUACUCGGUCCCUAGGCCGUCUGUAGAGUAAAAGUUUUGAAUUUUUACUCUAGCUUUACGUUAUUCCUCUGUUCCUGAGAACCACAAACACAACUAAAAUAAAUCAAAAAUAACAAGAAAGUAAAAAUUAUUUACAAGGAUAAUCAUGGGACUUCCUCCCAAGUGAGUUUGUUUAAAGUCUCUAGCUUGACUCCUCACACUUAUCAAGAAGAAAAUGAAUGAUAGAGAGGGUCUGCAUAGUCCUCUCUAAUAUCAUCAUCAUACUCAGCGUCCUCCCUGGAGAGGUCUACAGCAGAAUACUCAAUUCCCCUCUCUUCAAAAUAUGCUUCUUUCUCUUUUGGAGGGUUAUCUAUCUCUUCAGACCAUCUUGAAGUGAACUUCUUUAUAGGGAUAGUGUCAAUCCCGCCUUUAGGUUGAGCUUCCUUCUGCAACUGAUUCUGCUUACUUCUAAGUUCCUCAACAGUGUGGGCUUGCUUCUCUAUAGUUUCAUCUUGCUUCUCAGACCUCUUUUUAAGUUCCUUUACUCUUUUAGUCUCAUAUCCUUCUCCUGAGAUCGCUCUAUCAUUUCCAAAGGUUUUUCCAUCUUCUGUUGACCCUUGUGGAGUUUUGUUGAUGUCAAACUGCAACUUGAUGUGCUUUCCAAGGUUGAGACUUAUUUUCCCUUCCCUGACAUCUAUCACUGCUCCCACUGAAGCUAAGAAGGAUCUUCCCAGGAUUAAGGACCCUUAUGCUCUACUUCCAUAUCCAGCACCACGAAGUCUGUAGGCACUUCUACUCCAUUAAUCAUGACUGGUAGAUCUUUCAGCAUGUCGUAGGGUUUUCUUAAAGACCUAUCCGCAAGGAUCAAAGUCAGGUCACAAGGUUUAUACUGAAUAAACUCUAACCUUCUUGCCACAGAGAGUGGCAUUAAGCUGACAGAGGCUCCGAGAUCGCACAGACAAUCGCUGAAAGCUAAUUACCCAAUGGAACAUGGUAGAGUGAAAGAUCCAGGAUCUUCUAACUUUUCUUGAACAAUCCUCUUAUCAACAGCUCGAGAUGGAGUGGCAUCACUUUCAUCAUCUGAAUUGUGAUACAUCUUGAUCUUUUCCAGUAUCAAAUUUCUCACAUCUUUGUGAGGAUCGGGAAUCAGGUUGAGAAUUUCCAUCAGUGGCAUCACUUCUUCAAUCUUGUCUACCUGCUUCGCUGCAACAGACUUGUAUCUCUCCAUCCACGCUUUCUUGAAUGUCCACGGAAAAGCACGUGAGGGUAAUGAAGUAUGUUUGAAUCGUUUUACCAUUCUCUCGAUUAUGGCGGACUUCUCUUCUGAGGUGGAUUGAAUGAGAUGGCGAGAACAAGAAGAAUGGUUGAAUUCAAGAACAGAGACUUCAAUCUGAGUGGAAGCCUUCCUUUCUUGAACAUCACUGUCCCUAGUGAUUAAGUCAGGGACAUGUCGAGUUGGCAGCUCUCGAUCAUGGCAGUUAGUGAUGGCGUGAGCAGUUGCAUACUCCUUUGAAUUCUGUAUUGACUUCCUUGGAAGUCCUGUGACUUUAGGUGCAGAGGUAGAUGCUGAUUGUCCUUCUAAAUAUCUGACUUUGGUAUUCAAUGCCUCCACUUUGGCAUUCAGGUCAUUGUAGUUGUAGUCCAGCUUAUGGUGCAAUUCAAAUAAUUUCUUAGCAAUUUCCAUGGAGCUAGAUGCUUGUCCCUGUAGCAGCUGUUGUACCAUCUGUUUCAUUUCAGCAUCAGGAGCAGCAGGAUCUUGGUUUUGCUGAGGUGCAAACCCAGGUGGUGGUUGCGGCUGGUAGUUCCCCUGAAAUUGCUGCUUAGGAACAAAACCUUGAUUGUAAGGAACAAAAGGUUUGUUCUGAUCUUGUUGUUGCUGUGGAGGAUACACUUGAUCUUGAGGAUUAACAACGUUGGUGCUGCGGUAGGAGAGGUUGGGGUUGUUGGUUUUGAAGUUGUUAUACCCUUUGUAGCCGCUCUGGUUGUUGUUGAUGUAGCUGACUUCUUCCAACUGGUUACCCUCCCCACCUUGGACUUGAUACUUCUCGUCAUCAACAAGGAAGUGCACAUGCUUCUGCUGGCUAAGAAGAAUCAUGUCCAGCUUGUCAUUCAGUGCUUUGAUCUCCUUCCUUUGUUUGUCAUCAGAUUCAGUUGUGCCUCUGACGGUCCUAUCACAGUCCUCGUUGUAAUUACCAUCUGAUUGAGCAAGGUUCUCAACAAUUUCCCAGCCUUCUUCAACAUCUUUGUUCUGGAAGUUCCCAUUGCUGGCGGUUUCCAGAAGGAUUCUCAUGCGUGGCAAAACGCCUCUAUAAAGAGUGCUGAGCAGAGAGGCUUUAGUGAAGCCAUGAUGAGGGCAUUGGGUUGUAUAACCCUUAAAACGCUCCCAUUCUUCACAGAAGCUUUCACCAGCCUUCUGUAAAAAGCCAGAGAUCUCAUUUCUGAGUCUUGCAGUUCUGGCGUUGGAGACGAACUUUGAUAGAAAAGCCUUCUUGCAAUCAUCCCAGGUGGUGAUUGAGUCAUGGGACAGAUUCUACUCCCAAAUGUGAGCUUUGUCGCCCAAGGAGAAUGGAAACAAACGGAGCUUGAAUCCGUCUUCACUGACACCAUUGAUUUUUGUUAGGUUGCAGAGCCUAUCGAAUUCAUUAAGGUGGUCGAGUGGAUCCUCAAUUGGCAGACCAUGGAAUUUGUUCCCCUGAAUCAUCGAGAUGAGACCGCUCUUAAUCUCGAAGUUGUUGUUCUAGAUAGCAGGAGGUGCAAUUCCUUUCCGCUAACGGUGAUCACGUGGUGCGUUUCCAGCACCAAUGUUGGCAGGGCCUUUUUGAUGAUUCUGUUCGUCAGCCAUUUCGAGUGGUUGUUGUGGUAUUAGGUUGACUGUGUUUCUCUUUUCUCUGAGUUCGCGAGCUAUGCGGUCGAUGUUGUCGUUGAAAAGGAGGUUCGGAUUGCCUGUUGAUCGAGUUUGCAUACAGCAGAGGUGUACCUAGAACAAGAAGACAACAAGAAAAAUACACAGUUAGCAACCGAAUUGAAAAUUGAAAAAGAACUUGAUCUAAGCAAGUCUGAAAUCUCAAAUGUAACAAAAAAACACCCAAUUGGCAACGGCGUCAAAUUGAUAAUAGAUUUUUUAGUCAGUUAUCUUAAAACACGAAUCAUGUCGUUGUAGUAUUUUAGUGGCUUGCUAGAACACUGCUAGAACACCAAUCAUACAGCAGAGGUGUACCUAGAACAAGAAGACAACAAGAAAAACACACAGUUAGCAACCAAAUUGAAAAUUGAAAAAGAACUUGAUCUAAGCAAGUCUGAAAUCUCAAAUGUAACAAACAAACACCCAAUUGGCAACAGGGACAAAUUGAUAAUAGGUUUUUUAGUCAAUUAUCUUAAAACACCAAUCAUGUCGUUGUAAUAUUUUAGGUUGUCAAUCCAAAUGAGUUUGAUGCUAACAAUAAGGAUGACUUGAUGGCAUGUGUAUGAUUGGUGUUCUAGCAGUGUUCUAGCAAGCCACUAAGUCACUAAGUCACUAAGUCAAGCCAAGUAAUAACAGGUUUUGGUGUGUUCUAGCAGUCCUAAGUGAACAUGCAGAAAACAGAAAAUCAAGCAGAAACAAUAAAACACUUGACCAACACAGCUCGUUGCAGAGCACUGGGUGUGGUCGAGUGACAGUUCGAGUAACAGACAGAAAAUGUAACAGGGAUACUCGAUUGCACAGUCUGUUGCCGGACAACUGGGGGGUCAAGUAACAGGUCGAGUAACAGUAAAGAAUUGCAGAAACUAAGCAACAGAUGAAAAGAUGCAGUAAACAACAGUAGAGUAAACAAUAAAAUCAAUCAGAUAAAGAAUUCCCGAGGAUGGGGUAAUUGAGUAGUUUCGUUUCCUCAAUUUACAGGUGAUUGACAUGCUCAAUAAAUUAUCCCUAGACAACAAGUUCAUUAACCAAAUCUAAGUGCCACCGCAAUAGAGACCCUCAACUUAACCUAGUCCCAGACUCAAUCACCAUUGACGAGAGCUAACCUUAUAGGCAUUACGAAUCAACAAGUUAAAGCCAAAACACUCCCUGCAACCAAUACCUUGGUACUGAGCCACGAAUCUCUGGAAUUAGUGGUUCAGACAUUUCAUCGAACACCUUUUGGGCGCGGAAAUGUCUGGGCUCAAAUUCCAGUUGAUCAAAAAGCAAUAGGGAUUAAGAACAACUAAUCCAGAAGGGAUCUAUCAAUCAAUACUCAACCACCUAGCAUACUGAGAAUUCUACACUACUCUAACCCAUCCUCAGAAACCUAUUCACUACUCAGACAUCAUUGAAGAGAACAUAAACGUUGAACAGGAUGAAAACAUGAUAACAACAGUGUAAUAGCAAAACAAUAACAGGAUGAACAACAAUAAACAAAAUCAAGAACAAAUACUGAAUACUGAAUAGAUAAAGAGAAAUCCAGAUUACAAAAGGUCUAGAACACAAUGUCUGCGAAAUAAAACUAGAUAAAAACCUCUUCUCGAAAAUGUAAAGUACAUGCUACUUAUAGCAAAAUAUUCGAAAACCCUAAUACUCAAAACGAUGCAGUAUUGGGACAUAUUAAGAACUAUACUCAACCCAGAUGGUCGAGUGAGAGGUCGAGUGAUAUGCUAGAGUCUUCUUUUCUUCCUUGUGCUCGAGUGUCUAGUUGAGUGCGGAAUGAAGAAGACUCUAAAGCUUGCCAUAGAGUAUGUAGUCGAGUGGUGGUGGUGAAGACACUCAACCUGGGGGUUGAAUGAUGUGAUCGAGUGACUGGUCAGGUGGUGGAGGUGAAUACACUCGACCAGGUGGUCGAGUGAGGUGAUCGAGUAUCUCUCGUGGUGGUACUCGGCCAGAGGGUCGAGUGAUGAGAUGAAAUUGUGAACUCCCCUACUCGACCAGGGGGUCGAGUGGUCUGUUGAGGUCUUGAAGCUUCUACUCGACCUCGGGGUCGAGUGGUUUGACAUGAUCAGGUCCGCUUCUUCCAGUUAGCUCGUCAACAGCUCUAAAUCACCUGAAAUCAACACAAAUAUGCAACAUGCAUGCAAACCUAUCCUAAACAUGCAAAGUGAUGACAAAUGAUGAGAAUGGUAUAAAACACUGAUGAUAAGGUGCUAAAGUGAUGACAAAUGGUAUGCUCAAACUUGCAAAAUACACACUUAUCAACAUGAUAGCAACAAAGUAAUAGCAGGAUGAUAAUAGGAUGAACAACUUGGUAAACCAAAUCAAAAGCAAAUACUGAAUACUGAAUAGAUUAAGAGAAAUCCGGAUUACAAAAACGUCAAGAACACAGUGUCUGCGGAAAAUAAAACUUAGGUAAACGAAAAUGUAAAAUACAUGGUACUGAUAGCGAAAUAUUAUGAAACCCUAAUACUCAAAACGACACAAUAUUGGGACGGAUUAAGAACGGUACUCGACCCAGGUUGUCGAGUAAUUUGUCGAGUGAUAAGCUGGAGUCUUCUUCUCUUCCUUGUGCUUGAGUGUUGGUUGAGUACGGAAUGGAGAAGACUCUAAAGCUGGAAGUCGAGUAAGAAGUCGAGUGAUUGAGAUGGUGGUACUCGGCUUGGUGUUAAAGUGAUCGUAGAGUGUGUGAUGAUGGUGGGACUCGGUCGUGUAAUCGAGUGAGUGAUCGAGUGAUUGUGAUGGGGAUGCUCGACCAGGGGGUCGAGUGGUGUGAUCGAGUGAUUGUCAGGUGGUGUGUUGAAGUCGUUAAGCCAUGUACUCGACUAGGUAGGUCGAGUGGUUUGAUAUGAUCAGGUCCGCUUCUUCCAAUUAACUCGCCAAUAGCUCCAAAUAUCCUGAAAGCAACACAAAUAUGCAACAUGCAUGCAAAACUAUCCUAAACAUGCAAAGUGAUGACAAAUGAUGAGAAAUAAUAUAAAAAAAUGGUAAUAUGAUGCAAUAGUGAUAACAAAUGGAUGCUCAAAACAUGUAAAAUGCACACUUAUCAAGUAGAAGAGCUAGAACCGCAACCGGAUUUUGAAAACCCAAGUAGUGUUUCCUUGUUAGAAGAUACAAAGCCCAAGACUCAUACGGACUUCGGUUACACCAUUAAAGCUUUGAGAAGCAAGAAGAAGUUUGGUUUGUGUUUUUCAGUCAAAUAUGACCAGAUGUCAUUUGUAUGAUUGAGUAUAAGAACUCAAACCACAGCCGGAUCUUGAAAGCCCAAAUAGUGUUUCCUUGAUAGAAGAUACAAAGCCAAAUUCUCAUACGAACGUCGGCUACACCAUCAAUGCUUUGAGAAGCAAGAAGAAGCUUGGUUAGUGUUUUGGAGUCAAAUAUGACUUUAUGUCAUGUGUAUGUUUAAGUAUUAGAACUUAAACUACAAACGGAUCCCAAAAGCAAAAUUAGUUUUUCCAUGCUAGAAGAUACAAAGCAAAAUAUUCAUACUGACUUCGACAUCACCAUUAAAGCCUUAGGGAGCAUGAAGAAGCUUGGUUGGUGUUUUGAAGUCAAAUAUGACUUGAUGGCAUGUGUAUGAUUGAGUAUAGGAACUCAACCACAACCGGAUCUUGAAAGCCCAAGUAGUGUUUCCUUUUUAGAAGGUACAAAGACAAAGACUCAUACGGACUUUGGGUACACCAUCAAAACUUUGAGAAGCAAGAAGAAGCUUGGUUAAUGUUUUGGAAUCAAAUAUGACUUGAUGUCAUGUGUAUGAUGGAGUAUAAGGACGAGAAUUGCAACCGGAUCUUAAAAGCCUAAGUAGUGUUUCCUUGUUAGAAGAUACAAAGCCAAUGAAUCAUACGGACUUUCGCUACACCAUCAAAGCUUUGUGAAGCAAGAAGAAGCUUAGUUAGUAUUUUAGAGUCAAAUAUGACUUGAUGUCAUGUGUAUGAUUGAGUAUACGAACUAGAACCUUAACUGGAUCUUAAAACCCAAAGUAGUGUUUCCUUGUUAGAAGAUACAAAGCAAAAGACGCAUGUGGACUUUGGUAACACUAUUAAAGCAUUGAGAAUCAAGAAGAAGCUUGGUUAGUAUUUUGGUGUCAAAUAUGACUAGAUUUCAUGUGUAUGAUUUGAGUAUAAGAACUAGAACUGCAACCCGAUCUUUAAAGCCUAAGUAGUGUUUCCUUGUUAGAAGAUACAAAGCCAAAGACUCAUACGGACUUCAGCUACACCAACAAAGUUUCGAGAAGCAAGAAGAAGCUUGGUUAGUGUUUUGGAGUCAAAUAUGACUUGAUGUCAUGUGUAUGAUUGGGUAUAAGAAUUAUAACCGCAACCGGAUCUUAAAACCUAAGUAGUAUUUAUUUUUUAGAAGAUACAAAGCCAAACAUUCAUACGGGCUUUGGUUACACCAUUAAAGCUUUGAGAAGCAAGAAGAAGCUUGAUUAUUGUUUUAGAGUCAAAUAUGCCUAGAUGGCAUGUGUAUGAUUGAGUACAAGAACUCGAACCACAACUGGAUCUUGAAAGCCAAAGUAGUGUUUCCUUGUUAGAAGAUGCAACGCCAAUUACUCAUACGGACUUCGGCUACACCGUCAAAGCUUUGAGAAGCAAGAAGAAUCUUGGUUUGUGUUUUGGAGUUAAAUAUAAAGUGAUGUGAUGUCUAUGGUUGAAUAUUAGAACUUGAACCGCAAACGGAUCCAAAAAGGAAAAGUAGUGUUUCCAUGCCAGAAAAUACAAAGCCAAAGACUCAUACGGACUUCGACAUCACCAUCAAAGCCUUAGGAAGCCAGAAGAGGCUUGGUUAGUUUUUUGGAGUCAAAUAUGACUAUGAUUGAGUAUAAGAAUUCAAACUGCAACCGGAUCUUGAAUGCCGAAGUAGUGUUUCUUUUUUAGAAGAUACAAAGCCAAAUACUCAUACGGACUUUGGCUACACCAUCGAGAAGCAAGAAGAAGCUUGGUUAGUGUUUUGGAGUCAAAUAUGAAUUGAUGUCCUGUGUAUGAUUAAGUAUAAGACCUAGAUUGGCAACCAGAUCUUGAAAGCCUAAAUAGUGUUUCCUUGUUAGAACAUACAAAGCCAAUGAUUCAUACGGACUUCAUCUACACUAUCAAAGCUUUGGGAAGUAAGAAGAGGCUUAGUUAGUGUUUUAGAGUCAAAUAUGACUUGAUGUAAUGUAUAUGAUUGAGUAUAAGAACUAGAACCACUACCAGAUCUUAAAAGCCUAAGUAGUGUUUCCUUGUUAGAAGAUACAAACCAAAGACUCAUACAGAUUUUGAUUACACCAUUAAAACUUUAAGAAGCAAGAAGAAUCUUGGUUAGUGUUUUGGAGUCAAAUAUGUCCAGACGACAUGUGUAUGAUUUAGUAUAAGAACUCGAACUACAACCUAAUCUUGAAAGCCCAAAUAGUGUUUCCUUGUUAGAACAUACAAAGCCAAUGACUCAUACGAAUUUCAGCUACACUAUCAAAGCUUUGAGAAGCAAGAAGAGGCUUAGUUAGUGUUUUAGAGUCAAAUAUGACUUGAUGUCAUGUGUAUGGUUAAGUAUUUGGACUAGAAAUGGAAACUGAUAUGUCUAUAAUUUGCAUGUUUUCAGUGUCCAUUCAUCAUCGUUUUGAGUCCAGUUUCGUAUCAUUCAUCACUGUUUUAUAUCAUUUCUUAUCAUUCUUGCAUACUUUGCAUGAUUAGGAUAGCUUUGCAUACAUAUUGCAUUUAUGAGUUGUUUUAGGUGAUUUGGAGCUGUUUGCGAGCAAAUUGGAAGAAACGAGCCGGAACCAGAAGACAUACUCGACCCCCAGGUCGAGUGACUUCGGAGCCAUUCUUCCCACCUACUCGACCACUUGACAACACUCGACCGUUCACUCUACCACAUCACUCGACCCCAUGGUCGAGUAUCACUUCGCCACACCACCUUACAACACUCGACCGUUCACUCUACCACAUCACUCGACCCCAUGGUCGAGUAUCACUUCGCCACACCAUCACCAUCACUCGACCGGACACUCGAUCACGUCUUCACAGUCUACUCAAAUCCGCACUCAACCAGACAAGCUGAGCACAAGGAAGAGAAGAGGAGAAGACAAAGUGUUUGGAAGCGGCCUGGACCUCCAUCGGAUCACGAAGCCCGUCUCGGCCCAUUAUCUUUCUAUGGGCCGGGUAAUUAGGUUAUUGGCCCGUUUACCAUCAUUUUAUUUUGUUUUGUAUAAAUAGAUGUCUUAGGGUUCUGUCCUGAGACAUCCAGUCGACAUUGAGUUUUUGCUUCAGUUUUAUUUUCUGUUUUACUCUGCUGCGCCGCUUUUGCUUCUGCAACCUGUAAUUCGAGAUUUUUCCAAGUUAUUCAGAUUCCGCAUUUGAUUUCAUCUGUCAUCUUGUUUCUAUACUCUUUAUCUCUUUACUUAUGCAAUAUUAUCGUUUACCUGCGUUUAUGUCUUUAAGCAUUUUGUCUGAGUAGUGACUUAGAAUUCUUAGGGAUGGGAUAGAGUAGUUGUGGAAUCCGUAGUCUGUAGAAUGGUUAAGUUUUAGAAUUGAUUGAAUCCCUUCAGGACUAGUUGCGUUUACUGCUUAUUUCUUUAUGAUCAACUGGAAUUCAACCCAAGCAUUCCCGCACCCAGAAGGUGUUCGAUGGAAUGUUCGAUCGACUAGUUCCUGAGAUAUUCGUCUCUAUCCCAAGGGAUUGGCCGAUUAGAGCGUUUAUUGACUUUAUAAGUCUGUUCUUAUUGCCUGCAUAGUUAGAUUCCGUUAAUGGGAAUUAGUCUGGGCUAGCUUUGCUUGAGGAUUUCUAUCACGGGAGUGAAUUAAUCUGUUGUUGAACCUGUUGUCUAGGGAUAGCUUGAUUGCGCUUGUUAACCAUUCGAAUAGGCUAGGAUACCACUCUACUCGAUUACCCUAUCCUUAGGAAUUUCUCGUCUAUCUUAUUUCUCUGUUUUAUUGUUAUCGCUUAAUCGUUGUCAUUGCCUGUUUCUUAGUUUUUGCAAUUACUCGACCAACUUACUCGACCACACCCAGUGUCUGGCAACAGACUGUGCAGUCGAGUGCAGUUGUUUCAUUUCCUGUCUGUUACUCGACCAGUAUACUCGACCACACCCAGUGUCUAGCAACAGACUGUGCAGUCGAGUAUAUCUGUUUCAUAUCCUGCCUGUUACUCGACCACAUCCUACUCCUGGCAUUAGCCUGUUGUGGUCGAGUGAUUUUAGUAAUUCUGUUAUUCUUUCUGUUUUCUGCAUGUUCACUUAGGACUGUUAGAAACCCCAAAACUGUUAUUGCUUGGCUUGACUUAGUGACUUCUGAUCACAUCUCAUUUGUCUGCAUCACACCCAUUUGGAUUGACACCUAAAAUACUACAAUGACAUGAUAGGUGUUUUAGGAUAAUUGACCAUAAAAACCUAUUAUCAAUUUGGCGCUGUUAUCUUUUUCAUUUUUUCUGAAAGUUACUAACUUUGUGUUUUUUCUGUUUGUCUGUUUUGAUUUAGGUACUACGAUACCAGCUUUACAAGUUGGUACUCGUUGUAUGCAAAUACGGUCACGAGGAAAUCAGAAUCUCCUGUUCAACGAUAACAUCGACCGUAUUGCACGCCAACUCAGAACACAGACAGAAACAGAGACAAUGGCUGCAGUUGUUGAUGAGCAGGUGCAACCAAACAACAUAGGUGCAGGCGAUGCACCACGCAACCAGAAUCAGCGUAAUGGCAUCGUGCCUCCACCUGUGCAGAACAACAACUUUGAGAUCAAGAGCGGUCUCAUUGCCAUGGUUCAGAGCAACAAGUUCCACGGCCUCCCUAUGGAGGAUCCACUCGAUCACCUGGACGAGUUUGAUAGGCUCUACAGCCUAACAAAGAUCAAUGGAGUUAGUGAGGAUGGUUUCAAGCUCAGAUUGUUUCCAUUCUCUCUUGGAGACAAAGCACAUCAGUGGGAAAAGUCACUUCCUCAAGGCUCUAUCACCUCCUGGAAUGACUGCAAGAAAGCCUUCUUGGCUAAGUUUUUCUCAAACUCCAGGACUGCGAGACUAAGGAAUGAUAUCUCCAGUUUCACUCAAACGAAUAAUGAGACUUUCUGUGAAGCAUGGGAGCGCUUCAAAGGUUAUCAGACGCAAUGUCCUCAUCAUGGUUUCUCCAAAGCUUCACUUCUCAGCACUCUCUAUAGAGGUGUCCUUCCCAAGAUCAGAAUGCUUCUUGAUACCGCUUCCAACGGGAACUUCCUCAACAAAGACGUUGAAGAAGGAUGAGAGCUGGUAGAGAACUUAGCUCAGUCGGAUGGCAACUAUAAUGAAGAUUAUGACAGAAGCAUCCGCACCAGCUCUGAUUCUGAUGAGAAGCACCGCAGGGAAAUGAAAGCCAUGAAUGACAAACUGGACAAGCUACUCCUUGUGCAACAAAAGCACAUUCAUUUUCUGGGUGAUGAUGAGACAGUCCAAGUGCAGAACCAAGGAGGUCAGCUAUGUGCAGAACCAAGGAGGUUACAACAAAGGUUUCAACAACUUCAAGCAGAGCCAUCCAAAUCUGUCUUACAGGAGUACAAAUGUUGCAAACCCGCAUGACCAAGUCUACCCUUCACAGCAGCAAAAUCAACCCAAGCCCUUUGUUCAUACAACCAAGGUCAGGGGUAUGUUCCUAAGCCGCAGUAUCAGGGCAACUAUCAGCAGCAACUUCCACCACCUAGGUUCACACACCAGCAACAACAACUAGCUUCAACAACUCCAGAUUCAGACUUGAAGAACAUGUUACAGCAGAUUCUCUAGGGACAAGCUGCAGGUGCAAUGGAUCUUGCCAAAAAGAUGGCAAAAAUCCACAACAAGGUUGAUUGUACUUUCAAUGAUCUGAAUAUCAAACUUGAGGCACUUACCUCUAAGGUCAGAUACAUGGAAGGACAAACAGCGUCAACUUCUGCUCCAAAAGUAACAGGACUUCCAGGAAAGUCAAUACAGAACCCGAAGGAAUACGCCACCGCUCACGCUAUCACCAUCUGUCAUGAUCGAGAGCUGCCUACUCGACAUGUUUCCACAUCAAUCACCGAGGACAGUGAUGUUCAGGACGGGGAGGCUUCUACUCAGAUUGAAAUUUCAGUGGUUGGACUCGACCAUUCAGCUGGAUCCCGUUUUCAAACCGAGUCCAACCUAGACGAGAAAGCAGCCAUCAUUGAGAGGAUGGUAAAACGAUUCAAGCCAGCACCAUUACCUUCACGUGCUCUUCCAUAGAAAAUUCAGGAAAGCAUGUAUAGAAAGAUACAAUUCUCUUGCAGAGAAGCAGCUUGAUGAGAUGGAAACGGCUUGAUGAGAUGGAAGCGGUGAUGCCUCUAAUAGAAGUUCUCAACCUAAUCCCGGAUCCUCACAAAGAUGUGAGAAAGUCAAUUCUGGAAAGGAUCAAGAUUCAUCAAGAUUCAGAAGACGAAUGUGAUGCUAUUCCGUUUAGGACCACUGCUAAGAGGAGUGUUCAAGAAAAACAGGAAGAUCCAGGAACUUUCACUCUACCAUGUUUCAUUGGUCAAUUGGUUUUCAGCCAUUGUCUUUGUGAUUUGGGAGCUUCAGUAAGCUUAAUGCCACUCUCCGUGGCAAGGAAGCUGGAAUUCACUCAGUACAGGCCUUGCGACCUGACUUUGAUCCUUGCUGAUAGGUCUUCAAGAAAACCCUUUGACCUUCUACAAGAUCUGCCAGUAAUGAUUAAUGGAGUGGAAGUGCCUACGGAUUUCGUUGUUCUUGAUAUGGAAGCAGAACCUAAGGAUCCUCUAAUCCUAGGAAGACCUUUCUUAGCCUCAGUGGAAGCGAUGAUAGAUGUCAGAGAUGGGAGAAUAAGUCUUAACCUUGGGAAGCACAUCAAGAUGCAGUUUGACAUCAACGAAACUUCGCAAAGGUCAGCUGUAGAAGAAAAGAUCAGGGCUCAACCUCAACGUUCGAAUUCAAUCACCAGACCAAGCACAGCCUCUACACCUAACUUGCGAGAUCUCAAAAAGAAAUCUGAUGAGCAAGAAGAGACCAUAGAGAAGCUAGCUCAGACAGUUGAGGAACUUAAGAGUAAACUGGAUCAUAUGCAAGAGAUAGCUCAAUCCAAAUGCGGGAAUAACACUAUCCCGAGAAAAAAGAUUACUUCAAGAUGGUCUAAGGAGAUAGAUUAUCCACCAGAAGAGAAAGAGGCCUAUUUCGAGGAAAGAAGAAUUGAGUAUUCUGCUACUCAUCUCUCAAGAGAGGAUGCUGAAUAUGAUGAUGAGAUCAGAGAGGACUAUGAAGAUCCUCUCUAUCACCCAUUUUCUUCUUAAUGAGUGUGAGGAGUCAAGCUAGAGACUUUAAACAAGCUCACUUGGGAGGAAUUCCCAAGACUGUUUCUGUAAAUAAAACUUUUAUUUUCUUGUUAUUUUUGAUUUGUUUUUGGUUGUGUUUGUGAUUCUCAGGAACAGAGAAACAGCGUGGAGGUAGAGUAAAAAUUUAAAAAUUUUACUCUACAGAGCAACAGGAGAACGAGUAUGUCAGAAAUUCAAGAGUUUGAAAAACUUUUGUUGCACUAAGAGGCCAUGAGGUCGAGUAAGUUUGGUCGAGUAUUAGUGAUGAUUUUAAAAAAACCCAAAAUUUUUAAAUCAUAUCUAUACUCGACCAACAGAAGCUACAGAGACUUGCAGGGAGUUUAACAAGUUUACAGAGGAUUACAGAAGGUUCUAGUCAACAGAGAACAGCGCUUCAGGACAAACAGACAGAGCGUGGCCAACCACCUCUCACCUUUGUUCCCCCACGCGUUUUUAGAGAUAACAAAAUCUCUUCCCUCUUUCCCAACCACUCGAUCUCACUCUAUCCCUAUCCUCUCCCACCGACAUCAUCUCUCUCCCUCUCCAAACACUCGACCAAGAAGAUUCACUCUACCUCACGUUUCUCACUCGACCAAACCUCACCAUCUCUCUUCCUCUCCAAGCACUUGACCGCACCAUCACACUCGACCUCACCGUUCACUCGAUCUCUCCCCUCCGGCUUCACCAUCUCUCGCUGCUUUGUCACCCUCUCACUCGACCAAACCUCACUCGUCAUCUCUCGCACCGCCUCCCAUUUACUCGAUUGCAACGCCCUCCUCUCCAUCCGCCGCUUUCUCGACCUCGUCGUCCCAGCUCUCACUGCUCACGCCUCCGCCCUCUCUCUCUCAUUCACUCGACGACGGGACAGGUUUCAUCUUCACUCAACCGCUACUCGACUUCUUUCACUCGACCGCAUCGCAAUUUGGACAAAGAGGCUCUUCAUUCGAUUUUCGAUAAACGGCCAGAGUUUCUCUCUCUCGUUCUCGCAAGCUAACUCGACUUCGCCGGAGCUUCUCGUCGUUCACUCGACCACUCCGCCCUUCACUCCGCCGGACUCUCACCGUCGCCUCCUUUUCACUCGAUCUCGCCGCUCCAACUUCAACAUUCCUCACUCGAUCUCGCCUCCCAUUCACUCGACCGCAAGAGCACCUCAGCCUCUACUUCGAUCUCUUUCUCUCAACUCUCCGUUCUCACCGUUCACUCGACCUCGCCAUUCACUUCGCCUCCGUUCAUCUCUUCACUCGACCGCUCCUCAAACCGCCACCGUCUUCUCUCCAUUCGACAUUUACUCGGCCACACAGUCACCGUUUCUCAUUCUCUUCCACUCGACCACAAAAUUUGAACACACAAUUUGACUAUACUCGACCGGUUACUCGACCGUGAACUUGAUUGGUUUAGUGUUUGUGUUUAUUUGGACUAACAUAUUGAUAUUUGGUUUUAAGUUACAUUAUUUUUCAGGAAAUCAAUAUGAGUAACUACAGUGGCGAAUCCUCCAUGGAUGCAGAUUACAACGUCGAUGAAGCUGAAUCUUGGUCAACUGGACCAGAGAGAGAGCGACAGGCUUAUGAGAGCUUUAGAGCUGAGACCCAACGCUCAGUAGCUCGACGCAAUGAGAAGAGAGCUGAGAUUGCUAGAGAAAGAGAGCAAUGACCAGCAGAUAUGAGUUGAUCGACGAAGAUAUUGACGUCGAGUAUGAGCCUGAGUCAUGGCACAGAGAAACGAAGCUGUUGAACAAGCCUGAUGAACGACUUCUGGGGAACGAGGUACCCCUGUUAUGAGACUUUAGCAUAGCUGGGGCUACUGGAGGACGUACAUCACUUAUUCGAGAAGUGCCAUCUGGAGACGCUGAUGUCUUACCCGUACGUCGCUUACAAGAAGGAAACAAUAGAGUUUCUCUUCACUCUGCAAGUGGAGAUGUAUCAGGGACUUACAGCAGAUGAGCUGGAGAGUGAAGGGUUGGGGUUCUUGACUUUUUCAGUGAACGAGCAGCGUUACCAGCUAUCUAUCAAGAGCUUGGAAGGAUUAUUUGGUUUUCCCAGUGGAAAGGGAACUAAACCCAAGUUCGAGAGGGAAGAGUUGAAGGAUUUGUGGUUAACCAUUGGGAACGAUUUGGCGCUCAACUUUGCAAGGUCUAAGAGCAACCAGAUUCGUAGCCCUGUGAUCCGCUACUAUCAGCGCUCAGUAGCGAAUGUUCUGUACCCCAGGGAAUCUACAGGCACCGUGUUUAACACAGACAUGGAGAUGAUUGAUUCUCCACUCAAGGGCAUUCUCCGGAGAACAAAGGGGAAGAAGGUCCUAAAGGGCGACCUUAAUGAUGCACCACCGGUUAUGCUUCUGUUGAUCCACCUAUGUGGAUACAGGAAGUGGGCGCACACCAACGGGAAGAAGAAGGUGCGAGGAGCCCUUUGUGUAGGUGGCGUUGUGACACCGAUUCUGAUUGCAUGUGGUGUACCUCUCACGUCUCCAAGGUUUGAUCCGAGGAUGAUGGAUUUAGAUCACUUGCGUUGUUGUGAGUUUCUGGAGUAUGAUAUGGUUGGCGAUUUCUAUCGCUACAAAUUCGAGCACUCCCUGAUCCGAACAGCCAACAUUUUGCUUCCCUGCAUCGAGGCCACGACCAUACUUCAGGGUAGGAACAUUGACUUCAAACCUGCACGUGAUUACCUCUACUUUGAGAGCGCUCCACCGACUGAUGAUAAUGUCCCUACGACGGAAGCUAUAGAGGAUGAUAUUGCUGAGACGGAUGAGGAUAGGGAGGAGGAGUACGAUACGAGCAUGUAUCAUUUCAGAGAGCACGUACCUCCAGCGCGGGAGAGCAAGAGCUUGAGUGAAGCUCACAGAAACAACAGUAAGUUGCAGAGGUGGUGCAAGAAACAAGAUAGGCUACUCAUCAAGUGCUUCAAAGCCAUCACGUUUCUGACAGACAAGCUUAGCUGCUUCUCUUCUACCACAGCUAUUCCGCAGGGAGAGCGUCCUCAGGACAUGCCUUCGAGGAGAUAUGACGCGCCAGGGCCAAGUCAUCACAGGCCUGAGCCAAGUCACCACAAGCCUGAGCCUAGUGACCGAGUAGUCCCACCAGUCCCUGCAAGGCAUUCAUCAUUCGAGCCUCGGGAGCUCGGGAGAAAGAAGAAGGCUGCACUCGCUCGGUCUGGCAGCAGGAGUACACGACUUCUCCAGUCCCGUAGCUUACGCGACCGCGGUGCUGGCCGCAGCAGAAGAAGAGAGGUCGAGUAUCAUCAGAGCGGUGCUGGCCGCGACGAAGGAGCAGAGGUCGAGUACCCCCAGGGGGAAGCUGAGACACAGCAGGGAGAUUCUUCGAUGGCCUGGGAGCAAUCACAGGCAGCUAUUGGCGACCAACUUCGCUCCUUCUUCCACUGAGGUAUGCACCUCACUCCACCAUUGUAAUAUACCAUCUCUUGUUUUUAUUUUGUUUUUGUGAUGUGUUUUGUCCUAAGUACUCUCUUCCAAAUUUGGUCACACAGUGGACUGUGUGAUUUAAGUUUGGGGGAGGGCUCAGAAAGUGUGUAUUGCAUUGUAUAUAAUCUUGAGUCUGCAUUCAUCUAAGGCAUAGAAAAGAACCAAAAAAAUUGAAAAAUUUCAGAAAAUGAUUUCACAAAAAUAGAGUGUUCAUGUAGUUGCAUUGCAUUUAGGAUCGAGUCUAGAGUGUUUCGUUUAGGAUUGUUGCAUAUGCAUAGGGGAUAAUGAUGAGAUAGCCUUGUAAGCAUUUUGGUUCACCAGAUAAGCUCAGUGCCCUCGUUGUUAGUUGUUUGAUGCGUUGUCAUUGAAAUUGAAGUAAAACUGCACCAUGCCUAGAUUGCUCUACUCGACCACACUGUUAGGAUCUGAUAUCAUUCCCUAUCAAUUUGAACUUGAAUCUGAUUUAGAAUUAUCAUGUCUUGGCAUCGAAUUUGAACUCAUGGAUACCCUAAAAUACUUGGAUUUUCUUACUCCUUUUAACCACUCUUGUUGAUCCAAAUAGCUGACUCUCCUUAUUAGAGCAGUUAACCCGAACCCAAACAUGAACUUUCUUUCAAGCCCUAUAUCACUUGUGAGUGUUUGUGAGGUCUUAUUUCGAUUGAGCUUGGUAAAAAGUGUUAGCUUCGUAACGACAGAGAUAGUGUCUCAUGUAGUUCUAGUUCGCGUUCUUCGGACUGGAUAGGACUAGGUGGGCGCUUAUAUCAUGGGUUGGGAUGUCUUUAAAAGAAAAGGGUGAAUUUAUUGUUGAUAAGGAAAGGGAAAGAAUUCUAGGGGAAGUAAGCUAAAGAAGUUAGAAAAAAAUCUAGUAAAGGUUUUGGGAAUGUUAAAGAAAAGAAUGAGGUUCUUGUUAGCUAAAGAAGAAGGGUUAAAAGCCUUUGGUUUUAAAGAUUUAAAACAGGAACCUUAGUUGUUAAAGAAAUCCAAAUCCGCUAGAUGUAUCAGAGUGUUGAGAAAGCUUCUCCUAGAGUUAAGAGAAAAUAAAAGAAUGAUAUGAAAAAGAGUUUGAAAGAUUCAUGAGUGCAAAUGGUAGAGUUAAGUUGGGACAGGAGUUGGGAUUACCAUUAGAACUUCAUUGCUAUACUCUGGGUAGAUGGGAUCUUAUCUCUGUAUGCAUAACUUGGGACUUACCUUUAGCAUUCUACUAAAGCUCAAUCAUUCUUGAGGGAUCCCCUGUUACUUAAGCCUAUUCUGUAAGGGACCAUCUUUGUCUCUUGACCUUCACCUUAGCCAAAUGAGUUCAUUGAUGAUGCAUUGCUUGAUUCACGUUCCAGAACUAAUGAAUGUUAAAGGGAUUGGUAGAUUUGAAAGCAUGUGUAGGUCGAGUAUAAGAGACGGAUUGAUUGAUAACAAGGCAUGGCUAACGUUUUUGAGUAAAAUUCAAUCAUAUCGCAUCUUAGAACUACCAAUUUGGACAUUGAUUUUAUUUGCUCUAACAUAUGCUUUGGUUCUGAGUCCCCGCCUUCAAACCUCUCCUUCAACUAUGUCUUCUUAUUUGCUUGAGGGCAAGCAAAGACUAAGUUUGGGGGAGUUGAUAUGUCUAUAAUUUGCAUGUUUUCAGUGUCCAUUCAUCAUCGUUUUGAGUCCAGUUUCGUAUCAUUCAUCACUAUUUUAUAUCAUUUCUCAUCAUUCUUGCAUACUUUGCAUGAUUAGGAUAACUUUGCAUACAUAUUGCAUUUCUGAGUUGUUUUCAGGUGAUUUGGAGCUGUUUGCGAGCAAAUUGGAAGAAACGAGCCAGAACCAGAAGACAUACUCGACCCCCAGGUCGAGUGACUUUGGAGUCAUUCUUCCCACCUACUCGACCACUUGGUCGAGUAUCCUCAGCUCAGGCUACUCAAUGACACUACUCGAUCCCCUGGUCGAGUAUCACUUCGCCACACCACCUGACAACACUCGACCGUUCACUCUACCACAUCACUCGACCCCAUGGUCGAGUAUCACUUCGCCACACCACCUGACAACACUCGACCGUUCACUCUACCACAUCACUCGACCCCAUGGUCGAGUAUCACUUCGCCACACCAUCACCAUCACUCGACCGGACACUCGAUCACGUCUUCACAGUCUACUCAAAUCCGCACUCAACCAGACAAGCUGAGCACAAGGAAGAGAAGAGGAGAAGACAAAGUGUUUAGAAGCGGCUUGGACCUCCAUCGGAUCACGAAGCCCAUCUCGGCCCAUUAUCUUUCUAUGGGCCGGGUAAUUAGGUUAUUGGCCUGUUUACCAUCAUUUUAUUUUGUUUUGUAUUAAUAGAUGUCUUAGGGUUCUGUCCUGAGACAUCCAGUCGACAUUGAGUUUUUGCUUCAGUUUUAUUUCUGUUUUACUUUGCUGCGCCGCUUUUGCUUCUACAACCUGUAAUUCGAGACUUUUCCAAGUUAUUCAGAUUCCGCUUUUGAUUUCAUCUGUCAUCUUGUUUCUAUACUCUUUAUCUCUUUACUUAUGCAAUAUUAUCGUUUACCUGCGUUUAUGUCUUUAAGCAUGUUGUCUGAGUAGUGACUUAGAAUUAUUAGGGAUGGGAUAGAGUAGUUGUGGAAUCCGUAGUCUGUAGAAUGGUUAAGUUUUAGAAUUGAUUGUAUCCCUUUAGAACUAGUUGUGUUUACUGCUUAUUUUUUUCUGAUCAACUGGAAUUCGAUCCCAAGCAUUCCCGCACCCAGAAGGUGUUCGAUGGAAUGCUUGAUCCACUAGUUCCUGAGAUAUGCGUCUCUAUCCCAAGGGAUUGGCCGUUUAGAGCGUUUAUUGACUUUAUCAGUCUGUUCUUAUUGCUUGCAUAGUUAGAUUCCGUUAAUGGGAAUUAGUCUAGGCUAGCUUUGCUUGAGGAUUUCUAUCACGGGAGUGAAUUAAUCUGUUGUUGAACCUGUUGUCUAGGGAUAGCUUGAUUGCGCUUGUUAACCAUUCUAAUAGGCUAGGAUACCACUCUACUCGAUUACCCCAUCCUUAGGAGUUUCUUGUCUAUCUUAUUUCUCUGUUUUAUCGUUAUCGCUUAAUCGUUCUCAUUGCCUGUUUCUUAGUUUUUGUAAUUACUCGACCAACAUACUCGACCACACCCAGUGUCUGGCAACAGACUGUGCAGUGGAGUGCAGUUGUUUCAUUUCCUGUUUGUUACUCGACCAGUAUACUCGACCACACCUAGUGUCUGGCAACAGACUGUGCAGUCGAGUAUAUCUGUUUCAUAUCCUGCCUGUUACUCGACCACAUCCUACUCCUGGCAUCAGCCUGUUGUGGUCGAGUGAUUUUAGUAAUUCUGUUAUUGUUUCUGUUUUCUACAUGUUCACUUAGGACUGUUAGAAACCCCAAAACCGUUAUUGAUUGGCUUGACUUAGUGACUUCUCAUCACAUCUCAUUUGUCUGCAUCACACCCAUUUGGAUUGACACCUAAAAUACUACAAUGACAUGAUUGGUGUUUUAGGAUAAUUGACCAUAAAAACCUAUUAUCAGAAACUUAUCCCAAAAUUUAAAGUAGUGUUUCCAUGCUAGAAGAUACAAAGCAAAAGAUUCAUAAGGACUUCGACAUCACCAUCAAAGCCUUAGGAAGCAUGAAGAAGCUUGGUUAUUGUUUUGGAGACAAAUAUGACUAGAUGACAUGUGUAUGAUUGAGUAUAAGAACUCGAACCGCAACCGGAUCUUGAAAGUCCAAGUAGUGUUUCCUUAUUAGAAGGUACAAAGACAAAGACUCAUACGGACUUUGGGUACACCAUCAAAACUUUGGGAAGCAAGAAGAAGCCUGGUUAUUGUUUUGGAGUCAAAUAUGACUUGAUGUCAUGUGUAUGAUGGAGUAUCAGGACAAGAAUUGCAAUCGGAUCUUUAAAGCCUAAGUAGUGUUUCCUUGUUAGAAGAUACAAGCCAAUGAAUCAUACGGACUUUAGCUACACCAUCAAAGCUUUGUGAAGCAAGAAGAAGCUUAGUUAGUGUUUUAGAGUCAAAUAUGACUUGAUGUCAUGUGUAUGAUUGAGUAUACGAACUAGAACCACAACCGGAUCUUAAAACCCAAAUUAGUGUUUCCUUGUUAGAAGAUACAAAGCUAAAGACUCAUGUGGACUUUGGUAAUACUAUUAAAGCGUUGAGAAUCAAUAAGAAGCUUGGUUAGUGUUUUGGAGUCAAAUAUGACUAGAUGUCAUGUGUAUGAUUGAGUAUAAAAACUGGAACUGCAACCCGAUCUUAAAACCUAGUUAGUGUUUCCCUUUUAGAAGAUACAAAGCCAAAGACUCAUACGGACUUCAGCUACACCAACAAAGCUUUGAGAAGCAAGAAGAAACUUGGUUAGUGUUUUCGAGUCAAAUAUGACUUGAUGUCAUGUGUAUGAUUGGGUAUAAGAACUAGAACCGCAACCGGAUCUUAAAAGCCUAAGUAGUAUUUAGAAGAUACAAAGCCAAACAUUCAUACGGACUUUGGUUACACCAUUAAAGCUUUGUGAAGCAAGAAGAAGCUUUGUUAGUGUUUUGGAGUCAAAUAUGACUAGAUGUCAUGUGUAUGAUUGAGUAUAAAAACUGGAACUGCAACCCGAUCUUAAAAGCCUAGUUAGUGUUUCCUUGUUAGAAGAUACAAAUCCAAAAACUCAUACGGACUUCAGCUACACCAACAAAGCUUUGCGAAGCAAGAAGAAACUUGGUUAGUGUUUUCGAGUCAAAUAUGACUUGAUGUCAUGUGUAUGAUUGGGUAUAAGAACUAGAACCGCAACCGGAUCUUAAAAGCCUAAGUAGUAUUUGUUUUUUAGAAGAUACAAAGCCAAACAUUCAUACGGACUUUGGUUACACCAUUAAAGCUUUGAGAAGCAAGAAAAAGCUUGGUUAUUGUUUUGGAGUCAAAUAUGCCUAGAUGUCAUGUGUAUGAUUGAGUACAAGAACUCGAACCGCAACUGGAUCUUGAAAGCCCAAGUAGUGUUUCCUUGUUAGAAGAUACAACGCCAAUGACUCAUACGGAUUUCGGCUACACCAUCAAAUCUUUGAGAAGGAACAAGAAUCUUGGUUUGUGUUUUGGAGUUAGAUAUAAAUUGAUGUCAUGUCUAUGGUUGAGUAUUAGAACUUGAACCGCAAACGGAUCCGAAAAGGAAAAGUAGAGUUUCCAUGCGAGAAGAUACAAAGCCAAAGACUCAUACGGACUUCGACAUCACCAUCAACGCCUUAGGAAGCCAGAAGAAGCUUGGUUAGCUUUUUGGAGUCAAAUAUGACUAGAUGACAUGUGUAUGAUUGAGUAUAAAAACUCAAAUCGCAACCGGAUCUUGAAAGCCCAACUAGUGUUUGUUUGUUAGAAGAUACAAAGCCAAAUACUCAUACGGACUUUGGCUACACUAUCAAAGCUUUGAAAAGCAAGAAGAGGCUUAGUUAGUGUUUUAGAGUCAAAUAUGACUUGAUGUCAUGUGUAUUAUUGAGUAUAAGAACUAGAACCACAACCGGAUCUUAAAAGCCUAAGUAGUGUUUCCUUGUUAGAAGAUACAAAGCCAAUAAAUCAUGCGGACUUUAGCUACACCAUCAAAGCUUUGUGAAGCAAGAAGAAGCUUAGUUAGUGUUUUAGAGUCAAAUAUGACUUGAUGUCAUGUGUAUGAUUGAGUAUAACUAGAACCACAACCGGAUCUUAAAACCCAAAGUAGUGUUUCUUUGUUAGAAGAUACAAAGCUAAAGAUUGUUGUGGACUUUGGUAACACUAUUAAAGCGUUGGGAAUCAAGAAGAAGCUUGGUUAGUGUUUUGGAGUCAAAUAUGACUAGAUUUCAUGUGUAUGAUUGAGUAUAAAAACUAGAACUGUAACCCGAUCUUAAAAUCCUAAGUAGUGUUUCCUUGUUAGAAGAUACAAAGCCAAAGACUCAUACGGACUUCAGCUACACCAACAAUGCUUUGAGAAGAAAGAAGAAGCUUGGUUAGUUUUUUGGAAUCAAAUAUGACUUGAUUUCAUGUUUUUGAUUGGGUAUAAGAAGUAGAACCGCAACCGGAUCUUAAAAGCCUAAGUAGUAUUUCUUUUUUAGAAGAUACUCUAGUUUAGAGAUGUGUUUCUAGUUUAGAGAUGUGUUUAAGAACUCAAAGUAAAGAAUAACUCUCUUUAAUCUCUUUAGGAAAAUUACUCAAAACCUAAAGCUAUUGAUCUCUUCACAAUCUCUAAAAACCCAUAAGGUUAACCACAACUUGGUAACUCUUAUAUAGAGAUCAAUAGAUAAUUCUAGAAUAAACAUUUAGAUUAAUAUUAGAUAACUCCUAAUAAUAUCUUUAGGUAAUGAUAUGUCUAUAAUUUGCAUGUUUUACACAUCUUUUUAUCACCAUUUUGAGUCUAGUUUCAUCCAUCUUUCAUAGCAUUUGAUAAUAGGUUUUUAAUUAAUUAAACCUAAAGCACUAUCAUGUCGUUGUAAUACUGAAGGUUGUCAAUCCAAAUGGGUGUGAUGCUAACAAUCAAGAUGUGAUCAGAAGUCACUAAGUCAAGCCAAGCAAUAACAGGUUGUGGUGUGUUCUAGCAGUUCUAAGUGAACAUGGAGAAAAUAGAAAUUCAAGCAGAAACAGUAAAACACUCGACCAACACAGCUCUUUGCAGAGCACUGGGUGAGGUCGAGUGACAGGUCGAGUAACAGACAGAAAAUAAAAUACAGAUACUCGACUGCACAGUCUGUUACCAGACAAUUGGGUGGUCGAGUAACAAGAAAGAACUGCAGAAAUUACGCGACAGAUAACAAGAUGCAGUAAAUAACAGUGGAGUAAACACAGAAUUCAAUCAGAUAAAGAAUUCCUGAGGAUGGGGUAAUUGAGUAGUUUCGUUUCCUCAGUUUACAGGUGAUUGACAUGCUCAAUAAAUUAACCCUAGACAACAAGUUCAUUAACCAAAUCUAAGUGCCACCGCAACAGAGACUCUCAAGUUAACCUAGUCCCAGACUCAAUCACCAUUGACGAGAGAUAACCUAACAGGCAUUACGAAUCAACAAGUUAAAGCCAAAACGCUCCUUGCAACCAAUACCUUGGUACAGGGUCACGAAACUCUGGAAUUAGUGGUUCAGACAUUUCAUCGAACACCUUUUGGGCGCGGAAAUGUCUGGGCUCAAAUUCCAGUUGAUCAGAAAGCAAUAGGGAUUAAGAACAACUAAUCCAGAAGGGAUAUAUCAACCAAUACUCAAUCACCUAGCAUAUUGAGAAUUCUACACUACUCUAACCCAUCCUCAGAAACCUAUUCACUACUCAGACAUCAUAACAGUAAGCAUAAACGUUGAACAAGUUGAAAACAUGAUAACAACUGUGUAACAACAAGAUGAUAACAGAAUGAACAACAGUAAACGAAAUCAAGAACAAAAGCUGAAUACUGAAUACUAAAUAGAUAAAGAGAAAUCUGGAUUACAAAAGGUCUAGAACACAAGGUCUACGGAAUAAAACUAGAUAAAAACUUGUCUGCCAAAAUGUGAAGUACAUGCUACUUACAGCCAAAUAUUCCGAAACCCUAAUACUUAAAACGACGCAGUAUUGGGACGGAUUAAGAACUGUACUCGACCCAUGUGGUCGAGUGGGAGGUCGAGUGAAUAGCUGGAGUCUUCUUUUCUUCCUUGUGCUCGAGUGUCUGGUUGAGUGCGGAAUGAAGAAGGCUCUGAAGCUUGUCAUCGAGUAUGUAGUCGAGUGGUGGUGAUGGUGAUACUCGACUUCCACGUAGAGUGAAGAGGUCAAGUAGUGGUCUGGCAAUGAAGGUGAAGACACUCGGCCUCAGGGUCGAGUGACGUGAUCGAGUGAUGGUCAGGUGAUGGGAUGAAGACACUCGACCUCGUGGUCGAGUGAUGUGGUGAAGUAGUGAUGUCCUCUACUCGACCAGGGGGUCGAGUGAUCUGUUGAGAUCUUGAAGCUCCUAAUCGACCUCGGGGUCAAGUCGUUUGAUAUGAUCAGGCCCGCUUCUUCCAGAUAGCUUGUCAACAGCUCCAAAUCACCUGAAAUCAACGCAAAUAUGCAACAUGCAUGCAAAUCUAUCCAAAAAUUGUAAAGUGAUGACAAAUGAUGAGAAAUUGUAUAAAACAGUGAUGAUAUGAUGCUAAAGUGAUGACAAAUGGAUGCUCAAAACAUGCAAAAUACACACUUAUCAGCAUUCACCAUCAUUUUCAUACAUUUUGCAUCUUAAGUCGAGUCUAGGACUAGUCUUGCAUACAUUCUGCAUUCUGGAGUUGUUUCAGGUGUUUUGGAGCUAUUGGUGCUCAGAAAGAGGGAAAACAAAACAGAAAGUCACACUUCCACCAAACAUACUCGAUCACCAGUAGCAGAGAGGGAAGCAGUCAGCUCAGUAGUCCAUCCAGACACUUCUACUCGAUCACAGAGGAGACCAGGCAGUCCAUUCUGCCAGAUAUACUCGACCGUAGAGGAGAGGAGGCAGUCCAUUCUGCAAUUCUACUCUAUCGCAGAGGCAACCAUGCAGUCCACUUUGCCAGUCCACCAGUUAUACUCGAUCGCAGAGGAGAAGAACCAGUACAUCCUGACAGCUGACACACUUACUCGAUCACAGAGGCCAAGAAGCAGCCCAGAUCAUUCUGUCAACCAACCUACUCGACCACCACCUCGACCCUCUGAUCAAUCCGCACUCAACCAGAUAACCUGAGCAUCGGAAAGAGAAGAGAAGAGAAGAGAAGGCCCAUUCGAAACCCAUUCAAAGCCCAUCAGGAAGCCCACUUUGAGCCGACACUCUUGAUCACGCCGUCCAUGGGCCGUUAAGUGGGCUCGAAGCCGAGUUAACAUCUACAGGUCACCAAGUUUACUCGACCAUGGAGGCAUCCCAACUGCCCGUUUUCACUCGAUCACCAAGGCGACACUUUAGACCAUUUCUCAGACCAAUAUACUCGACCGUCGGACCAAACGUCAUGUGAACCCUGCGAUCGAGUAUCAUGCACCAGAGGAGGAGGAACAACAACAAGGUCCCAGUAUUCCAUGGGAUUACACCAGAGAGGAGAUGGCACACACAACCAUCAUUGUAUAUACCAUUUUCUGUUUUCGUUUUGUUUUAGUGUCUCUUGAACUCUUCUUUAGACUUCUAUUACACAAGGGACUGUAUAGUUUAAGUUUGGGGGAGGAUUCAAGAAGUAUUUAACAUGUUUGCUAGUGAGUCUUAUUUGCAUCAUUUGAGUCUUAACUUCAUCUAAGACAUAGAAAAAAAAUAAAAAAAAAAUGAAAACAUUUCUGAAAAUGUAUUCCACAAAAACAGAGUGUUCAUAUAGUUGCAUCACAUUUAGGAUUGAGUCUAGGAUGUUUCAUAUAGGAUUGUCGCAUAUGCAUUGGGGAUUAUGAUGAGAUAGCCUUGUAAGCAUUUUUGUUCAUCGUUUCUAGUUGUCUGAUGUGUAGUCAAUGAAAUUGAAGUAAAACUGCACCAUGUCUUGAAUGCUCUACUCGAUCACACUGUUAUUAUCUGAUACCAUUCCCUAUCAAUUUGAACCUGAAUCUGACUUGCAAUUAUCAUGUCUUAGCAUCGAAUUUGAACUCAUGGAUACCAUAUACAUACUUGGGUUUUCUUUAAACUUUUCACCACCCUUGCUAACCCAAGUAGCUGCUUCCAUCAUUGAAGUAGUUUCCCUUGCCCUUAACCAAACCUUUCUUUCGAGCCCUGUUAUAUAUCGUGUGCGAUUGUGAGGCCUGUUUCAGGAUUGAGCUUGGAAGAAAGUGUUAGGUUUGAGCCGACAAGAGUAGUGUCUCAUGUAGUUCUAGUCCACGUUUUCUGGGCUAGAUAGGACAAGGUGGGUGUCUAUUCUUGAAGUGGGGAUCGAGUAUAUGAGAAAAUAAGAGAGAAAGGAAAUGUUGAUGUUCUUAGGAGAAGGAAGUUGAGAAACAAGUUAGUCUAGUAAUGGAUUUUGGGGAACUAAAAAAAAAAUAGGCUCACAACAAAAGAAAAAAAGUCUAGAAAAGUCUUGAUCACAAGAAGAUAACAUGAGCCAUAGUUGUCAAAGAAAACCAAAGUCCACUAGAUCCAACAAAGUAAAAGAAACUUCUCCUUAGAAUAAGAGUCAAAGAAAAGAAAGAGUGGUUUGAUCCAAGAUAAGAAUGAGAAAAAAAUGCCUUGAGUGCAAAGGGUAGAACUAGGAUCAUAUUCUGGGCUUAAGGGUAGUACCAUCUGCUGGUGUAUACACUGUGUAUGUUUUUGGGUAGAUGGGAUACUAUUCUUGUAUGCAUAGGUUGGCUCUUACCUUUAGCAUUCUCCUAAAGCUCAGUCCAUUUCUUUUCAGAGUCCCCUGUUACUAAACUUGAACCACCAGAAAGGGACCAUCUGUGUCUCUUGACCUUCACCUUAGCCAAAUGAGUUCAUUGAUGAUGCAUAGCUUGAUUCACGUUCCUAAUCUAAUGAAUGUUAAAGGGAUUGGUAGAUUUGAAAGCAUGUGUAGGUCGAGUAUAAGAGUGGGAUUGAACUAUAAUAAGGCAUGGCUAACGUUUUUGAGUAGAGUUCGAUAAUAUGGCAUCCUAGAACUGCCAACUUGGACAUUGAUUCUAUCUGAUUUAUUUGAUGCUUUGGUUCUGAAUCCCCACCUUCAAACCUCUCCUUCAGCUUAUGUCUACUUGUUUGCUUGAGGGCAAGCAAAGACUAAGUUUGGAGGAGUUGAUAUGUGUAUAAUUUGCAUGUUUUACACAUCCUUUAAUCACCAUUUUGAGUCUAGUUUCAUCCAUCUUUCAUAGCAUUCACCAUCAUUUUCGUACAUUUUGCAUCUUUAGUCGAGUCUAGGACUAAUCUUGCAUACAUUCUACAUUCUGGAGUUGUUUCAGGUGUUUUGGAGCUAUUGGUGCUCAGAAAGAGGGAAAACAGAACAGAAAGUCACACUUCCACCAAACAUACUCGAUCACCAGUAGCUGAGAGGGAAGUAGUCAGCUAAGCAGUCCAUCCAGACACUUCUACUCGAUCAUAGAGGAGACUAGGCAGUCCAUUCUGCCAGAUAUACUCGACCGCAGAGGAGAGGAGGCAAUCCAUUCUACAAUUCUACUCUAUCGCAGAGGCGACCAUGCAGUCCACUUUGCCAGUCCACCAGUUAUACUCGAUCGUAGAGGUGAAGAACCAGUACAUCCUGACUGCUGACACACUUACUCGAUCACAGAGGCCAAGAAGCAGCCCAGAUCAUUCUGUCAACCAACCUACUCGACCACCACCUUGACCCUCUUAUCAAUCCGCACUCAACCAGACAACCUGAGCAUCGAAAAGAGAAGAGAAGAGAAGGCCCAUUCGAAGCCCAUUCGAAACCCAUUCGAAGCCCAUCAAGAAGCCCACUUUGAGCCGACACUCUUGAUCACGCCGUUCAUGGGCCGUUAAGUGGGCUCGAAGCCCGCUUUCUUAUUUUAGUAUAAAUAAGUCUCUAAGGGUUUCGCCCUGGGACAUGCACUUUUAGAGACACGAAUUUUGCACUAUUAUUCAGCAGCCGCUUUUCAUUCCUGCAAUUUUAUAUUUCGAUUUUUCUUCUAAGUCAUUCAGAUUUUGCUUUCAUUUGCUUGUUCAUCUUUCGUUUCUAUGUUAUUGUCUUUAAGCAUGUUGUCAGAGUAGUGACUCAGAAUUCUUAAGGAUGGGUUAGAGUAGUUGUGGAAUCCGUAGUCUGUAGAAUGGUUAAGUCUUAGAAUUGAUUGAAUCCCUUCAGGACUAGUUGUGUUUACUGCUUAUUUCUUUCUAAUCAACUGGAAUUCGAUCCCAAGCAUUCCCGCACCCAGAAGGUGUUCUAUGGAAUGCUUGAUCCACUAGUUCCUGAGAUAUUCGUCUCUAUCCCAAGGGAUUGGCCGUUUAGAGCGUUUAUUGACUUUAUCAGUCUGUUCUUAUUGCCUGCAUAAUUAGAUUCCGUUAAUGGGAAUUAGUCUGGGCUAGCUUUGCUUGAGGAUUUCUAUCAAGGGAGUGAAUUGAUCUGUUGUUGAACCUGUUGUCUAGGGAUACCUUGAUUGCGCUUGUUAACCAUUCGGAUAGGCUAGGAUACCACUCUAUUCGAUUACCCCAUCCUUAGGAAUUUCUCGUCUAUCUGAUUUCUCUGUUUUAUCGUUAUCGCUUAUUCGUUCUCAUUGCCUGUUUCUUCGUUUUUGCAAUUACUCGAUCAACUUACUUGACCACACCCAGUGUCUGGUAACAGACUGUGCAGUCGAGUACAGUUGUCUCAUUUCCUGUCUGUUACUCGACCAGAAUACUCGACCACACCCAGUGUCUGGCAACAGACUAUGCAGUCAAGUAUAUCUGUUUCAUAUCCUGUCUGUUACUCGACCACAUCCUACUUCUGGCAUCAGCCUGUUGUGGUCGAGUGAUUUUAGUAAUUCUAUUAUUGUUUCUGUUUUCUGCAUGUUCGCUUAGGACUGUUAGAAACCCCAAAACUGUUAUUGCUUGGCUUGACUUAGUGACUUUUGAUCACAUCUCAUCUGUUUGCAUCACACCCAUUUGGAUUGACACCUAAAAUACUACAACGACAUGAUUGGUGUUUUAGGAUAAUUGACCAUAAAAAACUACUAUCAGAUAACUCCCAAAGAUUUAAUCUAAUCCUUCUCAAAACUAAAUAACUUAUUUCUUAAGUAAUACUCAAGCUUACUCCAACAAUCUCCCCUUUAAGCUUGAGAUCACUCCUCUUCACUUCUUGAACACCCAUAAGAUCUCUCAUCUCUUUAAACUUCAUUCUCCCAAGUGCUUUAGUUAGGAUGUCUGCCUUUUGCUCAUUCCCCGGAACAUGCUCUACUUCCACUUGUCCAUUUUCGACGCAUUCUCUUAUGAAGUGGUAACGCCUAUGAAUGUGCUUGCUUCAGCCAUGGAAGACCGGAUUCUUGGUAAGGGCGAUUGCUGAUUUGUUGUCGAUUCUUAUGAGCACCUUCUCGCUUGGUUCUCCUAUAACUUCACUAAGCAAGUCUUGAAGCCAAAUUGCUUGCCUAGCUGCUUCUGUUCCUGCCAUAAACUCUGCUUCACAUGAGGACAUUGCCAUUGUUUCUUGUUUCUGUGAACACCACGAGAUGGGACUCUCUCCAAGGUAGGAAAUGUGACCGGCUGUACUCUUGCCAUCAUCAGGAUCAACAUUGUGGUUGCUGUCACUAUAGCCUACUAGCUUUGGUAUCUUUUCACUUGAUCGUUUAAAUACCAAACCGAGUGUAGUCGUACCUUUCAAGUACCUCAAACAUUGUCUCAUUGCAGCACCAUGUGAUUCAUUUGGAUCUUGCAUGUAUCGACUUAACACUCCCACGCAAAAGGACAGAUCCGGUCUUGUAUGAAUUAAAUAGCGAAGGCAACCAACUUUUUUCCUGUAUCCGGUAGCAUCAAUUCCUUCUUCAUGAUGUGAUUUGGACAAUUGCAAACCAGAUUCCAUUGGUAUGUGCAUCAAGUUACAGUCCUUCAUCCCAGCGUCUUCUAAAAUCUUCAUUGCAUAUCGGUGUUGACUUAGUGUGAUUCCUUGCUCUUGUUGACAGACUUCUAUUCCAAGAUAGUACGUCAAUUUUCCAAGAUCACUCAUCUCGAACUUAGAAGCCAUCUCUCUCUUGAAUCCACUAAUACUUCUUUCAUCUGUUCCGGUUAUGAAAAGGUCAUCUACGUACACUACCACAAGAAGAAAAAUAUUCCCACUUACAGUUUUACGAUAUACUGAUGGUUCUUUGGAACACUUCUCGAAUUGUAGUUCUGUAAGAAUCUGAUUCAGCUUAUGGUUCCAUGCUCUCGGUGCUUGUCGUAAUCCAUACAAAGCUUUGUGAAGCCUAUAGACUUUCCCUUCCUAUCCUCUUUCUUCGAAUCCUUCUGGUUGUGUCACAUACACGGUUUCUCUUAGUUCUCCAAGGAGAAAUGCUGUCUUGACAUCAAGAUGGUGUAUCUCCCAACCAUUUGAUGCUGCAAGGUUCACAAGUAGUCGUUUGGUUUCAAGGCGAGCUACGGGAGCGAACACUUCUUCAAAGUCCACUCCAUAGCGCCAAAACGUAACCUUUCGCGACCAAUCGAGCCUUGUAUUUGUUGAUGCUCCCGUCCGAGUUGCGUUUGAGUUUAAAAACCCACUUUAGACCUAUACGUUUAACUCCAUGCGGCAGAUCUUCAAGACUCCAUGUCUUAUUCUUUGUUAUUGAAAACAUCUCUUCUUCACACGCAAGUGUCCACUCUCUGGACUCCUUAGCCUCACUGAAACUGCUCGGUUCGUUAUUCAAUAUUAGAAGUAGCCUUUCUCCUUCUUCUUCUACAAGUAAUGCAUAGUCUUCAAGGUACUUUGGUCUUAUGGUUUGUCUUUGCGAUCUUCUUAGAUUAGGUUGUUGACUUUCUGUUCCAAGAUCAGCAGAGACUUCUUCAUUUUCUGCAAAGGUUUCAUGAUCAUGUUGUUCUUCAUUCACGUGAAUAGGCUGUGUUUGCUCUGUCUCACCAUAUUCGUUGUCUUCUUCUUGUAGACCAUGAUUCCCGAAUUCUCCAAGUGUGACACUGAAGCUUCCAUCUUGUUUAGGUUCGUUGUGAUUCCAAUCCCAUCCUUUUUCUUCAUCGAAUACAACAUCUCUACUCACCACAAUUUUCCGAUUUACUGGGUCAAGUAGACGAUAUGCCUUUGAACCCGGCUCAGUACCUAGAUGAACUAGCUUUCUCGACCUGUCAUCUAGUUUCCUCAAGUGUGGUGUCUCCACUUCUGCGUAUCCAAUGCAGCCAAAUACUGUGAGAUGAUUCACGUUUGGUUUCUUUUGGUAGAAAGCUUCAUAUGGAGUGUUGUCAUUCAACGAUCUUGUAGCUAUCCGGUUCAGCAGGUAGGUGGCGUGUCAUACUGUUUCUCCCCAUAAGUAACUAGGUAUAUGCAUGUGUUUCAUGACACUCCUUGUCAUUUCCAUUAGAGUUCUGUUUCUUCUUUCAAAUACACCAUUCUGUUGUGGUGUAUAUGGAGCAGUAAGAUGUCUUUUAAUACCCGAUUCUUCACAAAACUUAGUGAACUCAUGUGAUACAAACUCUCCUCCUCUGUCUAUUCUGAAAGUCUGAAUUUUGCUUCCAGAUUCUUGUUCAACUAAGACCUUGAAGCGCUUGAAUUUAUUGAGAGCAUCACUUUUCUCCUUAAGUAGAGUUGUCCACAUGUAUCUAGAAUGAUCAUCAAUAAUGACAAAGAUGUACCUGUUUCCUGCAGCUGUGCUUGGUGUUAUAGGACCACAUAAGUCUCCAUGAACGAGUUCAAGUAUCUUGGUGGCUCUGUAUGAGGUUGCUUGCGGGAAAAAUUGCCUUGAUUGCUUCCCAAACAAACAUGAAUCACAAACUUCUUUUUCGAUCUUAACGUGUGGGAUCCCUCUUACUAGCUCCUUUUGUAUCAUUGACUUGAUUGUGUCGAGAUUUAUGUGUCCCAAUCUUGAAUGCCAUCUACUUGAUUCGCUGAGGUUUGUUAGAUAUAGACACAUUGUUCCUCUUUUUGCCAUCCGAACCUUAUUAAGUCGAUUCUUUGAUCUUGUUGCUUUGACAAGUAAUUUUCCCUCUCGGUCAUGCAUUGUUAGAAUGUCAUCCUUCAUUCUUAUGUCACAGCCUGAUUCUCUAGCUUGUCCCAAGCUAAUGAUGUUGCUUUUUAAAUCUGGAAUGAAAUAGACAUCUGACAUUUUUCUUUGUUCGCCAUUCCUGUCAAAAAACGAGAUCGUUCCUUUCCCUUUGAUAUCAAUCCGUGAAUCAUCGCCAAAGCGUACUUUCCCGGUGAUAGAAUUAUCUAUACUAGUGAAGUAUCUUUGAUCUCCUGUCAUGUGGUUACUUGCUCCGUUAUCGAGAUACCAAACAUCAUUCUCUCCAUUGUUAGUUUCAUAGUUGCUUGGAAUACAAUUCUUCUCAUUUAGAUACACAACUUCGUGAACCAUGAGUUCAUCUGCAGUUUGUGUAUCGUCUUUCUCGUUCUCUUGGGCUUCCUGCAACUUGAAAAGACGAUUCGGGCAGUCAGAGGCGUAGUGACCUAAUUUGUCACAUCUAUAGCAAGUUACUUUGGAUGUAUCUCUUCCACCAUUCGACCUUCCUUGUCCUCUUCCUCUGUAAUAAGAGCGUCCUCCUCGACCUCUUCCUCUGUAGCAGUUGUUGUACUCUUGAUUUGUUUGGUAAUCUUGAUUAGUAUACAACAACUUGCUUUGAUCUUCUUGUGGUUCUUCAUCAUCUACCACUCGUUCUUCAUAUACUUUCAUUCGUCCUACAAUGUCUUCAAAUCCGUUUGUGUUAAGAUCAAGAACUUGUUCGAGUGAUGCAACUAUGUGAAUGAAUUUCUUUCGAGGCAGACUUGAGAGAAACUUCUUCACUAGUUUUGGUUCUUCGAUUUGAACUCCUAAAGCUGCAGAUUUGGAUGCAAUUUCUGCUAACUUUCCUACAAAAUCAUCAAUCUUCUCAAUAUCCUUCAUCUUCAAGCGAUCAAAGUCAUUCAUUAGAGUCUGUAGUCUCGCUUCUCUAACUCGUUCUGCUCCCACGUUCCUCGACCGAAUAGCUUCCCAAACCUUCUUUGCUACUUUAAAUUCUCCAAUUUGCAAAGCUAGGGAUUCGGGUAUGGAUUGAAUCAUUAAAGCUAUAGCCAUGAUGUUCUUGUCUGCAUCAACGGGUUCUGUUGACUCUGUUUCAAUAGCUUCCCAGACUUUGUGUACUUGAAGAGCAAUCUCCAUCUUCAUAGCCCAUGCCGUGUAAUUUGUUUGAGUUAGCAUAGGGCAUUGGAUCGAAGAAGUUCCUCCUCCUUCUUUUGGUUUCGUUCCCGACGUAACUAUUUUGCUCAUAUCUUCUCCUUACAAAUUCUUCUUUAUGGUCUCAAGAUUUGUAAGCUCUGAUACCAAUUGUAGUUUAGAGAUGUGUUUAAGAACUCAAAGUAAAGAAUAACUCUCUUUAAUCUCUUUAGGAAAAUUACUCAAAACCUAAAGCUAUUGAUCUCUUCACAAUCUCUAAAAAACGAUAAGGUUAACCACAACUUUGGUAACUCUUAUAUAGAGAUCAAUAGAUAAUUCUAGAAUAAACAUUUAGAUUAAUAUUAGAUAACUCCUAAUAAUAUCUUUAGAUAACUCCCAAAGAUUUAAUCUAAUCCUUCUCAAAACUAAAUAACUUAUUUCUUAAGUAAUACUCAAGCUUACUCCAACAGAUACAAAGCCAGACAUUCAUACGGACUUUGGUUACACCAUUAAAGCUUUGAGAGGCAAGAAGAAGCUUGGUUAGUUUUGGAGUCAAAUAUGCCUAGAUGGCAUGUGUAUGAUUGAGUACAAGAACUCGAACCGCAACUGGAUCUUGAAAGCCCAAGUAGUGUUUCUUUGUUAGAAGAUACAACGCCAAUGACUCAUACGGACUUCGGCUACACCAUCAAAGCUUUGAAAAAUCUUGGUUUAUGUUUUGGAGUUAAAUAUAAAUUGAUGUCCUGUCUGUGGUUGAAUAUUAGAACUUGAACCGCAAACGGAUCUGAAAAGGAAAAGUAGUGUUUCCAUGCUAGAAGAUACAAAGCCAAAGACUCAUACGAACUUCGACAUCCCCAUCAAAGCCUUAGGAAGCCAAAAGAAGCUUAGUUAGUUUUUUGGAGUCCAAUAUGACUAGAUUGCAUGUGUAUGAUUGAGUAUAAAAACUCAAACCGUAACCAGAUCUUGAAAGCCCAAGUAGUGUUUCUUUGUUAGAAGAUACAAAGCCAAAUACUCAUACGGACUUCGGCUACACCAUCAAGAAGCAAGAUGAAGCUUGGUUAGUGUUUUGGAGUCAAAUAUGAAUUGAUGUCCUGUGUAUGAUUUAGUAUAAGAACUAGAUUGGCAACCGGAUAUUGAAAGCCCAAAUAGUGUUUUCUUGUUAGAACAGACAAAGCUAAUGACUCAUACGGACUUCGGCUUCACUAUCAAAGCUUUGAGAAACAAGAAGGGGCUUAGUUAGUGUUUUAGAGUCAAAUAUGACUUGAUGUAAUCUGUAUGAUUGAGUAUAAGAACUAGAACCACAACCGGAUCUUAAAAGUCUAAGUAGUGUUUCCUUGUUAGAAGAUACAAACCAAAGACUCAUACAGAUUUUCGAUUACACCAUUAAAACUUUGAGAAGCAAGAAGAAUCUUGGUUAGUGUUUUGGAGUCAAAUAUGACCAGACGACAUUUGUAUGAUUUAGUAUAAGAACUCGAACUACAACCUAAUCCCGAAAGCCCAAAUAGUGUUUCCUUGUUAGAACAUACAAAGCCAAUGACUAAUACAGAUUUUGAUUACACCAUUAAAACUUUGAGAAGCAAGAAGAAUCUUGGUUAGUGUUUUGGAGUCAAAUAUGACAAGAUGGCAUGUCUAUGAUUUAGUAUAAAAACUCGAACUACAACCAGAUCUUGAAAGCCCAAGUAGUGUUUCCUUGUUAGAAGAUACAAAGCCAAAUUCUCAUACGGACUUUGGUUAAACCAUCAAAGCUUUGAGAAGCAAGAAGAAGCUUGGUUAGUGUUUUGGAUCAAAUAUCACUUGAUGUCAUGUGUAUGGUUAAGUAUUUGGACUAGAUCUUGAAACUUAUCCCAAAAGCAAAAGUAGUGUUUCCAUGCUAGAAGAUACAAAACAAAAGAUUCAUACGGACUUUGACAUCACCAUCAAAGCCUUAGGAAGCAUGAAGAAGCUUGGUUAUUGUUUUGGAGUCAAAUAUGACUAGAUGACAUGUGUAUGAUUGAGUAUAAAUACUCAAACCGCAAUCGGAUCUUGAAUGCCCAAGUAGUGUUUCCUUGUUAGAAGAUACAAAUCCAAAGACUCAUAUGGACUUCGGCUACACCAUCAAAACUUUGAGAAUCAAGAAGAAGUUCUGUUAGUGUUUUGGAGUCAAAUAUGACUGGAUGUCAUGUUUAUGAUGGCGUGUAAAACUAGAACCACAACGCGAUAUUAAAAGCCUAAGUAGUGUUUCGAUGUUAGAAGAUACAAAGCCAAUGACUCAAACGAACUUCAGCUAGACCAUCAAAGCUUUGAGAAGCAAGAAGAAGCUUAGUUAGUGUUUCUGAGUUAAAUAUGACUUAAUGUAAUAUGUAUAAUUGAGAAUAAGAACUAGAACCACAACUAUAUCUUAAAAGCCUGAGUAGUGUUUGCUUAUUAGAAGAUACAAAGCUAAAGACUCAUGUGGACUUUGGUUACACUAUUAAAGCUUUGAGAAGCAAGAAUAAGCUUGGUUAGUGUUUUGGAGUAAAAUAUGACUACAGGUCAUGUGUAUGAUUGAGUAUAAAAACUCGAACCGCAACCUCAUCUUGAAAGCCCAAGUUGUAUUUCCUUGUUGGAAGAUACAAAGCCAUAGAGUCUUACGGACUUCGGCUACACCAUAAAGACCUUGAGAAGCAUGAAUAAGCUUGGUUAGUGUUUUGGAGUCAAAUAUGACUUGAUGUGAUGUGUAUGAUGGAGUAUAAGUACAAGAACCACAACCUGAUCUUAAAAAUCUAAGUAGUGUUUCGUUGUUUGAAGAUAUAAACCCAAAGACUCAUACGGACUUCGACAUCACCAUCAAAGUUUUAGGAAGCAUGAAGAAGCUUGGUUAGUGUUUUGGAGUCAAAUAUGACUAGAUGGCAUGUGUAUGAUUGAAUAUAAAAACUAAAACCGCAAUCGGAUCUUGAAAGCCCAAGUAGUGUUUCCUUAUUAGAAGAUACAAAGCCAAAUACUCAUACAGACUUCGGCUACACCAUCGAGAAGCAAGAAGAAGCUUGAUUAGUGUUUUGGAGUCAAAUAUUAAUUGAUGUCCUGUGUAUGAUUGAGUAUAAGAACUAGAUUGGCAACCGGAUCUUGAAAGCCCAAAUAGUGUUUCCUUGUUAGAAGAUACAAAGCCAAUGACUCAUACGGACUUCAGCUACACUAUCAAAGCUUUCAGAAGCAAGAAGAGGCUUAGUUAGUGUUUUAGAGUCAAAUAUGACUUGAUGUCAUGUGUAUGAUUGCGUAUAAGAACUAUGAUAAUAGGUUCUUACUCAAUUAAUCCUAAAACACUAAUCUUGUCGUUGUAGUAUUUUAGGUGUCAAUCCAAAUGGGUGUGAUGCAGACAUAUGAGAUAUAAUCAGAAGUUUCUAAGUCAUGCCAAGCACAAUUUGGUUGGUUUUCUAACAGUCCUAGUGUUGAUGCAGUAAACAGUAAAAAGUCGCAGAAAUGACUGAUAUACUCGAUUGCAGGGUCGACUCCCAGAAAGGACCCUGUGAUCGAGUACAAUAGAAUGACAGAGAGUAAAAAUGCAGAAAUGGACCAGUUUACUCUAUCACACAGUCUCACUGUCAGUAGCAGGGUGUGAUCGAGUAGGAUGGUUGAAAACACGAAAAUACUAAAAUUCAAUAGCAAGUGAAUGAAGUAGGUAAGUAAACAAAGAAAUCAAUUGGAUGAGAAACUCAUAAGGAUGGGGUAAUCGAAUAGUGUGGUCUCCCUAAUCAAUUCAGUUGGUUAACAAAUCUCAAUUAAGCUAUCCCUAGACAACAGGUUCAACAACAGAUUAAUACACUCCCGUGAUAUAAAUUCUCAAGCAUAGCUAGACACUGACCUAAUUCCCAUUAGCGAUCUCUAACUAAGCAGGCAAUAAGAACCGACUGUUAAAGCCAAUAACCGCUCUAAACGGCCAAUCCCUUGGGAUAGAGACGAUUAUCACUGGAAUUAGUAGAUGCAACGUUCUAUAAAACGCCUUCUAAGCGCUGGAACGUCUGGGAUCGGAUUCCAGUUGAUCAUAAAGGAAUAAACAGUAAACACAACUAAUCCAGAAGGGAUUCAAUAAAUCUACACUUAACCAACAGAUUCGACCAGGGGUUCCACAGCUACCCUAUCCCAUCCUUAGAAACUCUAAUCACUACUCAGACAACAUGCUUAAAGACAACAACAUAGAAACGAUUGAAUAUUGCAUACUAAAAAUAUUAAAGGGAAUGAAACAAAGAUGAACAAGCAAAUGAAAUCAAAAUCUGAAUAACUUAGAAGAAAAAUCGAAAUACAAAGUUGCAGGAAUGAAAAGUGGCUGCUGAAUACUAGUGCAAAAUUCGUGUCUCUCAAAGUGUAUGUCUCAAGGCGAAACCCUUUGAGACUUAUUUAUACUAAGAUAAGAAAGCGGGUUUCGAGCCCACUUAACGGCCCAUGGACGAUGUGAUCAAGAGUGUCGACUCAAAGUGGGCUUCCUGAUGGACUUCGAAUGGGCUUCGAAUGGGCCUUCUCUUCUCUUCUCUUUCCGUUGCUCAGGUUGUCUGGUUGAGUGCGGAUUGAUCAAAGGGUCGAGGUGGUGGUUGAGUAGGUUGGUUGACAGAAUGGUCUGGGCUGCUUCUUGGCCUCUGUGACCGAGUAUGUGUGUUAGCUGUCAGGAUGGAUUGGUUCUUCUCCUCUGCGAUCGAGUAGAAUUGGUGGACUGGCAAAGUGGACUGCAUGGUCGCCUCUGCGAUUGAGUAGAAUUUUCAGGAUGGACUCCUUCAACUCUGUGAUCGAGUAGAACUGCAGUUGGGAUUGACUCCUCUCCUCUGCGAUCGAGUAUAAGUGUCUGGAUGGACUGUUGAGCUAACUGCUUCCCUCUCUCCUACUGGUGAUUGAGUAUGUUGGUGGAAAUGUGACUUUCUGUUCUGUUUUUCCUCUUUCUGAGCACCAAUAGACGCAAGACUAGUCCUAGACUCGACUAAAGACGCAAAAUGUACAAGAAUGAUGAUGAAUGCUAUGAAAGAUGGAUGAAACUAGACUCAAAGUGGUGAAAACAGGAUGUGUAAAACAUGCAAAUUAUAGACAUAUCAACUCCCCCAAACUUAGUCUUUGCUUGCCCUCAAGCAAACAAGUAGACAUAAGCUGAAGGAGAGGUUUGAAGGUGGGGAUCCAGAACCAAAUCAUCAAAUAAAUCAGAUAAAAUCAAUGUCCAAAAUGACAGUUCUAGGAUACGAUAUGAUGGAAUUCUACUCAAAAACGUUAGCCAUGCCUUAUUAUAGUUAAAUCUCACUCUUAUACUCGACCUACACAUGAUUUCAAAUCUACCAAUCCCUUUAACAUUCAUUAGUUUAGGAACGUGAAUCAGGCAAUGCACCAUCAAUGAACUCAUUUGGCUAAGGUGAAGGUCAGGAGACAAAGAUGAUCCCUUUCUGGUUGUUCAAGUUUAGUAACAGGGGACUCUCAAAAGAAAUGGACUGAGGUUUUGGAGAAUGCUAAAGGUAAGAGCCAACCUAUGCAUACAAAAAUAGUAUCCCAUCUACCCAAUAACAUAGACAGUGUAUACACCAGCAGAUGGUACUACCAUCAAGCCCAAAAUAUGAUCCUAGUUCUACCCUUUGCACUCAAGGUAUUUUUUUUUCUCAUUCUUAUCUUGGAUCAAACCACUCUUUCUUUUCUUUGACUCUUAUUCUAAGGAGAAGUUUCUUUUACUUUGAUGGAUCUAGUGGACUUUUGGUUUUCUUUGACAACUCUGACUCUUGUCCUAACACUUUCUUCCAAGCUCAAUCCUGAAACAGGCCUCACAAUCGUGAUCUUUACUAUAUUACGGUGAGAAAAUUAUAGGUUCGGACAUUGUUUUCAAAUAUUUUGCAUGUAUCAAAGCUCUUAUAAACAAGAUAGGAUAUUCCUACAUAGCUGGUGGGACCCCAACAAAUGGAUCAUGAAGUCUUCAAAAAAGAAUAGAUACGAUUGCAUUGCAUGUAGUAACAGAUGCGAUCAUACCAGCACUAAUGCACCAGAUACCAUCAGAAAUCCGCAGUUAAGCGUGCUUGGGCGAGAGUAGUACUACGACGUGUGACCUCCAGGAAAGUCCUUGUGUUGCAUAACUCUUUUGUUUUCGAUUUUUCUCAUAUUUUUUGUUAAAAAUGUAUUACUCUAUAACUUUUAGACCGUGAGGCCAAACUUGGCAUGUGAUACCUUUUCGGAAAGCCGAAAGAGUGCUCUCAAACGAAUGAGGAAUGGGUUGUUUUUCUACUCCAAAUUUUGACCUAAAUGUACUUUUUAUGGCCUUUUCUUGAUCUUUGCUAUAUUACGGGACAAAAAUUAUAUGUUCGGACAUUGUUUUUGAAUAUUUUGCAUGUAUCAAAGCUCUUAUAAACAAGAUAGGGUAUUCCUACAUAUCUGGUGGGACCUGAUAAUAUGUUUUUAGUCAAUUAUUCUAAAACACCAAGCAUGUCGUUGUAGUAUUUUAGGUGUCAAUCCAAAUGAGUGUGAUGCAAACAGAUGAGAUGUGAUCAGAAGUUACUAAGUCAAGCCAAGCAAUAACAGUUUUGGGGUUUCUACAGUCCUAAGUGAACAUGCAGAAAACAGAAACAAUAACAAAAUUACUAAAAUCACUCGACCACAACAGGCUGAUGCCAGAAGUAGGAUGUGGUCGAGUAACAGGUAGGAUAUGAAACAGAUAUACUCAACUGCACAGUCUGUUGCCAGACACUGGGUGUGGUCGAGUAUACUGGUCGAGUAACAGACAGGAAAUGAGACAACUGUACUCGACUGCACAGUCUGUUGCCAGACACUGGGUGUGGUCGAGUAAGUUGGUCGAGUAAUUGUAAAAACUAAGAAACAGGCAAUGAGAACGAUUAAGCGAUAACGAUAAAACAGAGAAAUAGUAUAGACGAGAAAUUCCUAAGGAUGGGGUAAUCGAGUAGAGUGGUAUCCUGAUAGGUUACGGGUGACGUUGGCUGGUGUGAGAAGAAGGGCGAGAUCAAAUGGAAGGAAAGGCAGAGCUCGUGAGAAGUUCCUGAGGAAGCUUCUAUUUAAAAGUGGCUAAGGCACAAAAAGACAGCUCGCCAGCUCGGCACAGAAAGACAGCUCGCCAGCUCGCCAACUGUGUCGUUUUACUUUUGGGUUAUCGAAAUGCUGCGUUUUGUAUUGAGUCUCAGUAGAUGCUAUUUAAGGAACCUUCCCUUUUAGGGUUUUGUUAUCAAAAUAAACAAUCAACAACAUUAAUCUUGAAAUUCUCUCUCUCAUCUACACUCUCCGCCGUUCAAGGUGCAUUUCCUAUUGUCUUGUUAUUUUAUCAGUCUUAGUCUUUUUCUUGUCUUCGAUAGGGUCAGACCUUAUCAUUGGUGCUUCUUCAUUGGAGAGACCGAUGGCUCCACCGUUACCUAAAGCCACCGCAUCUGAUACCGCCGUCGAGUCACCUGAACUCGGCUCGACAACAACACCACCACCUGAGGAACCUCCGCCAGCUCCACAUUUGGACACACGAGUAGACAAAGUGGAGAAAGAGAUGACUUAUGUCAGAGAGGCUCUAACCCAGAUCCUUAGAAAUCAGAUCUUUGGGGUUACGCGUGAGGGAAGUGCAGCUCCGAUAGGGUUCUCCACUCCGACACCGGCACUGCCUUUACAAGCUUCAUACCCACAACAUCUGGAAGGACCGAAUAGAGGAGUCCGUUUUUCUUCUCCAGCUCCGGCGUUACCAGUCUACACCUCUCAUCCUCAACACUUGGAGGUACAGAACAGAGAGACUCUGUUUUCCGGCACAAAUCAACGGGACACACACCCUCGGCCCUUACUCUUUGACCAGUCGCGAUACCAGGCGUCGACUUCAGAGAUACCUCGACUUCCAGCUUCACCCUUCGAACCGCGUCGCUUUCACUCGUCACCAUUAGAACCACCAGGGUUUCAGCUGAAUGCCUCCACGGGUCUUCCAUCAUCUUCAGGUUUUCCAUCUAAUCCUUCCACGGGGUUUCAGACUACUCCAACCUUCCAAACACAAACGUUUCCGCCUCAAUCUGCGCCACAUCAACCUCGGUUUGAAGCAGCCCCGCGUAGGACUGUGGAUUAUCCGGCUUAUGAAGGAGGCAAUGCCGACGAUUGGUUGUUCCGGCUAGAACAGUGCUUCUUAUCCAAUCGCACCCUAGAGGAAGAAAAACUGGAAAAGGCUGUGUCUUGUUUAACAGGAGCAUCAGUUACAUGGUGGCGCUGCUCUAAGGACAGAGAACAAAUCUAUACCUGGAGGGAAUUUCAAGAAAAGUUCAUGUUACGUUUUCGACCAAGCAGAGGCAGUUCUGCUGUGGAUCAUCUCCUCAACGUGAGACAAACAGGAACCGUGGAGGAAUACAGAGAACGUUUUGAAGAGCUCACAGUCGACUUACCCCAUGUCACAUCUGACAUAUUGGAAUCUGCAUUCCUCAAUGGACUGAGAAGAAGUCUUCGAGACCAGGUAGUUCGCUGUAGGCCAGUGAAUCUUGCAGAUAUUGUUGAGAUAGCUAAACUCAUUGAGUCACAAGAGCGGAAUGCUGUUAGUUACCAAGUGCGAAAUCAAGCUAGAACCAACACAGCUCCAUUCAACAAUCAGGUCUCCACAGGAUCUAGAGUGGUAGACCGUGCUCCAACGAGACAACCCUUCAUUCCUAGUAGGGAUACAACUCGUGCUUCAGGCAGUGGGGAAGCCAGGAACUCAAACCCGUGCCGCUACUGUGGAGAUAGAUGGUUUCAAGGCCAUAAAUGCAAACCACAAAAGCUCAAGGGUCUAGCCAUAACAGAAGAGGUUGAAGAGGAGAGUCCUCUAAUUGAAGAGUUGAAUGAACCACUGACAGAAGAAGAAGGGGAUCCAGAACCUGCAGAAGGUUUCAAGGUAAUGACACUCAGCUCCUUGAAUGAUGAGUCUCAAGAGCAGUCAAUGAAAAUGAGGGGAUACAUUGGCAACACCAAAGUGGUGUUAUUGGUUGAUUCAGGAGCAACUUGCAACUUCAUUAGUGAGGCUUUGGUAAGAGAGAAAGGAUGGUUAGUGACUCAAACUCGCAGUUUUGGAGUUAAAGUUGGUGGAGGCAGAAUCAUCAAAAGUAGUGGGAAGUGUGUCGAUAUACCACUAGAGGUCCAAGGAAUUGAGUUUGUACAAGACUACUACUUAUUUGACUUGGGAGAUUUGGAUUUGGUUCUGGGAUUUUCUUGGUUGGCAGGACUAGGAGAAACAAGAGCCAACUGGAGAGAUUUGAGGAUCAGUUGGCAGAUAGGUCGCACAUGGGUAUCCUUAUACGGCGACCCGGAUCUAUGUAGAGGACAAAUUUCGAUGAGGUCUAUGGAAAGAGUUAUCAAAUACACUGGAACUGCAUAUCUCUUGGAACUAGCAUCUUUGUUUGAAAGCAAGAAACAGGAAGAGCAAACAGCCUUGCAGCCUGCAAUCCAGAGGCUUUUGGAUCAGUACCAAGGGGUUUUUCAAACUCCACAGCUAUUGCCACCAGUUCGCAACAGAGAACACGCCAUUACCUUACAAGAAGGGUCUUCACCAGUCAAUAUCCGACCAUACAGGUAUUCUUUUGCUCAAAAGAAUGAGAUAGAGAAGCUUGUGCGUGAAAUGUUGAAUGCUCAGAUUAUAAGACCUAGCGUGAGUCCAUAUUCAAGUCCAGUUCUCCUAGUGAAAAAGAAAGAUGGAGGAUGGCGCUUCUGCGUUGAUUAUCGAGCAUUGAAUGAAGCUACAAUACCCGAUAAGUAUCCGAUUCCUGUUAUAGAAGAGCUAUUGGAUGAACUGAAAGGAGCCACAGUGUUUUCAAAGUUGGAUCUUAAAUCAGGCUAUUUCCAGAUAAGGAUGAAACUGAGUGAUGUGGAGAAGACUGCCUUCAAGACACAUGAGGGCCAUUAUGAAUUUCUGGUAAUGCCAUUUGGCUUGACCAACGCCCCCUCCACCUUUCAAAGCGUCAUGAAUGACCUAUUCAGGCCAUACUUGCGAAAGUUCGUCUUGGUUUUCUUCGAUGAUAUACUAGUUUAUAGUCCUGAUAUGAAGACACAUUUGAAGCAUUUGGAAACCGUCUUACAGCUACUGCAUCUUCAUCAGUUCUAUGCCAAUUUUAAAAAGUGCACAUUUGGAAGCACUAGGAUCUCAUAUUUGGGACACAUUAUCUCUGAGCAAGGAGUCGCAACAGAUCCAGAAAAGGUGGAAGCAAUGCUCCAGUGGCCUUUACCUAAAUCUGUGACUGAGUUAAGAGGCUUCCUAGGAUUCACUGGCUACUAUCGCCGAUUUGUCAAGAAUUACGGCCAAAUCGCCAGACCACUCAGAGAUCAGUUAAAAAAGAACAGUUUUGAUUGGAAUGAGGCAGCUACUUCUGCAUUUCAGGCUCUCAAAGCAGCUGUUUCAGCACUACCUGUGCUAGUGUUACCAGAUUUCCAGCAGGAGUUUACUGUGGAAACGGAUGCAUCAGGGAUGGGGAUUGGAGCAGUACUGUCACAGAAUAAGAGGCUUAUUGCAUUUCUCAGCCAAGCCUUCUCCAGUCAAGGCAGAAUAAGGUCAGUUUAUGAACGUGAACUGUUAGCCAUAGUGAAAGCUGUCACAAAGUGGAAGCAUUACCUAUCAAGUAAAGAAUUCAUUAUCAAGACAGAUCAACGCAGCCUCAGACAUUUGUUGGAACAGAAGUCGGUGUCCACAAUACAGCAGAGAUGGGCGUCUAAGUUGAGUGGACUGAAGUAUAGGAUCGAAUAUAAACCAGGAGUUGACAAUAAGGUAGCUGAUGCACUCUCAAGGAGACCUCCAACUGAGGCUCUCUCACAGCUCACUAUAACUGGUCCUCCUACUAUCGACUUGACUGCACUAAAGGCAGAAAUUCAGCAGGAUCAUGAGUUGAGCCAGAUACUUAAGAACUGGGCACAAGGGGACCACCAUGAUUCUGACUUCACUGUGGCAGAUGGCUUGAUUUACAGAAAAGGCUGUUUGGUAAUUCCUGUAGGAUCUCCCUUCAUUCCAAAGAUGCUAGAGAAGUUCCACACCAGUCCUAUUGGAGGUCAUGAAGGUGCCCUUAAGACAUUCAAACGACUCACAAGUGAAGUAUACUGGAGAGGGUUGCGGAAAGACGUGGUUAACUACAUCAAGGGAUGCCAAAUCUGUCAAGAGAAUAAAUACUCUACCCUCUCUCCAGCCGGUUUACUAUCACCUCUCCCUAUUCCACAACAGAUUUGGAGUGAUGUCAGCUUGGACUUUGUAGAAGGGUUGCCAAGCUCUAACAGGUUUAACUGUAUAUUGGUAGUGGUGGAUAGAUUAAGUAAGUAUAGUCAUUUCAUUCCACUUAAACAUCCAUUCACUGCCAAGACUGUAGUUGAGGCCUUCAUAAGAGAUGUAGUCAAGCUACAUGGCUUCCCAAACACACUGGUUUCGGACAGGGACAGGAUUUUCCUGAGCGGAUUCUGGUCUGAGUUGUUUAAGCUGCAGGGCACGGGGCUACAGAAGAGUACAGCCUAUCACCCACAAACUGAUGGGCAGACCGAGGUUGUUAACAGAUGUCUUGAGUCUUAUUUGCGAUGCUUUGCAGGGAGGAGGCCUACAUCGUGGUUUCAGUGGUUACCUUGGGCAGAAUACUGGUACAACACCUCGUACCAUUCAGCCACCAAAACCACUCCCUUUCAAGCAGUCUAUGGUAGAGAACCACCAGUUCUGCUCAGGUAUGGCGAUAUUCCAACCAAUAAUGCGAAUGUAGAGGAGUUACUUAAGGAUAGGGAUGGAAUGCUGGUUGAAUUAAGAGAGAACUUGGAGAUAGCUCAAGCUCAAAUGAAAAAGGCUGCUGAUAAAAGUCGACGUGAUGUAGCGUUUGAAAUUGAUGAAUGGGUUUACUUGAAGCUGCGUCCUUAUAGGCAAAGUUCUGUGGCUCAUAGGAAGAAUGAAAAGCUGUCCCAGCGCUACUUCGGUCCAUUUAAAGUGCUGCACCGCAUAGGUCAGGUCGCUUACAAGCUCCAACUACCCGAACACAGCACAAUUCACCCGGUGUUCCAUGUCUCUCAACUGAAAAGGGCUGUACCUCCGUCAUUCACCCCGCAGGAACUUCCCAAGAUACUAUCACCCACACUGGAAUGGAACACAGGACCUGAGAAGCUGCUAGAUAUCCGACAGAGCAACACAAAUUCAGGACCAGAGGUGCUGGUACAGUGGUCUGGAUUAUCAACCUUGGAAUCAACUUGGGAGCCGCUCCUCACUUUGGUGCAGCAGUACCCGGACUUCGACCUUGAGGACAAGGUCAGUCUUCUGCGCGGGAGCAUUGAUAGGUUACAGGUGACGUUGGCUGGUGUGAGAAGAAGGGCGAAAUCAAAUGGAAGGAAAGGCAGAGCUCGUGAGAAGUUCCUGAGGAAGCUUCUAUUUAAAAGUGGCUAAGGCACAGAAAGACAGCUCGCCAGCUCGGCACAGAAAGACAGCUCGCCAACUGUGUCGUUUUACUUUUGGGUUAUCGAAAUGCUGCGUUUUGUAUUGAGUCUCAGUAGAUGCUAUUUAAGGAACCUUCCCUUUUAGGGUUUUGUUAUCAAAAUAAACAAUCAACAACAUUAAUCUUGAAAUUCUCUCUCUCAUCUACACUCUCCGCCGUUCAAGGUGCAUUUCCUAUUAUCUUGUUAUUUUAUCACUCUUAGUCUUUUUCUUGUCUUCGAUAGGGUCAGACCUUAUCAUAUCCUAGCAUAUUCGAAUGGUUAACAAGCGCAAUCAAGCUAUCCCUAGACAAUAGGUUCAACAACAAAUCAAUUCACUUCUGUGAUAGAAAUCCUCAAGCAAAGCUAGCCCAGACUAAUUCCCAUUAACGCAAUCUAACUAUGCAGGCAAUAAGAACAGACUGAUAAAGUCAAUAAACGCUCUAAACGCCCAAUCCCUUGGGAUAGAGACGAAUAUCUCAGGAACUAGUGGAUCAAGCAUUCCAUCGAACACCUUCUGGGUGCGAGAAUGCUUGGGAUCGAAUUCCAGUUGAUCAGAAAGAAAUAAGCAGUAAACGCAACUAGUCCUGAAGGGAUUCAAUCAAUUCUAAAACUUAACCAUUCUACAGACUACGGAUUCCACAACUACUCUAUCCCAUCCCUAAGAAUUCUAUGUCACUACUCAGACAACAUGCUCAAAGACAUAAACGCAGAUAAAUGAUAAUAUUGCAUAAGUAAAGAGAUAAAGAGUAGAGAAACAGGAUGAUAGAUAAAAUCAAAUGCAGAAUCUGAAUAACUUGGAAAAAUCUCGAAUUAUAGGUUGUAGAAGCAAAAGCGGCGCAGAAGAGUAAAAUAGAAAAUAAAACUGAAACAAAAACUCAAUGUCGACUAGAUGUCUCAGGAAAGAACCCUAAGACAUCUAUUUAUACAAAACAAAAUGAUAGUAGACGGGCCAAUAACCUAAUCGCCCGACCAAUAGAGUGAUAAUGGGCCGAGAUGGGCUUUGUGAUCCGAUGGAGGUCCAGGCCGCUUCCAAACACUUUGUCUUCUCCUCUUCUCUUCCUUGUGCUCAGCUUGUCUGGUUGAGUGCGGAUUUGAGUAGACUGUGAAGACGUGAUCGAGUGUCCGGUCGAGUGAUGGUGAUGGUGGUGAGUGAUGAUACUCGACCAGGGGGUCGACUAACUUGGUAGAGUGAAUGGCCGAGUGUGGUCAGGUGGUGUGGCGAAGUGAUACUCGACCAGGGGGUCGAUGGCGUCAUCGAGUAGCCUGAGCUGAGGAUACUCGACUAGGGGGUCGAGUAGAUGGGAAGAAUGGCUCCAAAGUCACUCGACCAGGGGGUCGAGUAUGGUGCUGGAUGCACACGACCUGGUGGUCGAGUAUGUCUUCUGGUUCUGGCUCGUUUCUUCCAAUUUGCUCGCAAACAGCUCCAAAUCACCUGAAAACAACUUAGAAAUGCAAUAUGUAUGCAAAACUAUCCUAAUCAUGCAAAGUAUGCAAGAAUGAUGAGAAAUGAUAUAAAACAGCGAUGAAUGAUACAAAACUGGACUCAAAACGGUGAUGAAUGGACACUGAAAAGAUGUAAAUUAUAGACAUAUCAGGACCCACAGCAAAUGGAUCAUAAAGUCUUCAAAAAAGAAUAGAUACGAUUGCAUUGCAUGUAGUAACGGAUGCGAUCAUAGCAGCACUAAUGCACCAGAUCCCAUAAGAACUCCGCAGUUAAGUGUGCUUGGGCGAGAGUAGUACUAGGAUGGGUGACCUCCCGGAAAGUCCUCGUGUUUCAUCCCUCUUUUUUUUUUUGGUUUUUCUCUAUUUUUUUUUUUAAAAUGAAUGACUCUAUAACUUUUAGACCGUGAGGCCAAACUUGGCAUGUGAUACCUUUUCAAAAAGCCAAAAGAGAGCUCUCUGGUGAAUGAUGAAGGAAAAUGGAAUUCUUCUAUUGGGUUUUUUUUCUACUCCAAAUUUUGACCUUAAUGUACUCUUUUGGCGUUUUCGCGAUCUUUGCUAUAUUACGGGGCGAAAAUUAUAUGUUCGGACAUUGUUUUUGAAUAUUUUGCAUGUAUCAAAGCUCUUAUAAACAAGAUAGGGUAUUCCUACAUAGCUGGUGGGACCCACGACAAAUGGAUCAUAAAGUCUUCAAGAAGAAAAGAUAUUAUUGCAUUGCAUGUAGUAACGGAUGCGAUCAUACCAUCACUAAUGCACUGGAUCCCAUCAGAACUCCACAGUUAAGCGCGCUUGGGUGAGAGUAGUACUAGAAUGGGUGACCUCCCGGAAAGUCCUUGUGUUCCAUCCCUCUUUUUUCGGUUUUUCUCUUUUUUUUUUGUUAAAAAUGUAUGACUCUAUAAAUUUUAGACCGUGAGGCCAAACUUGGCAUGUGAUACCUUUUCGGAAAGCCCAAAGAGAACUCUCCGAUGAAUGAGGAAGGACAAUGGAAUUUUUCUAUUGUUUUUUUUUCUACUCAAAAUUUUGACCUUAAUGUACUUUUUCUGGCCUUUUCAUGAUCUAUGCUAUAUUACGGGGCAAAAAGCAUACGUUCUGACAUUGUUUUCGAAUAUUUUGCAUGUAUCAAAGCUCUUAUAAACAAGAUAGGGUAUUCUUACAUAGUUGGUGGGACCCACGACAAAUGGAUCAUAAAGUCUUCAAAAAAGAAUAGAUACGAUUGCAUUGCAUGUAGUAACAGAUGCGAUCAUACCAGCACUAAUGCACCGGAUCCCAUCAAAACUCUGCAGUUAAGCGUGAUUGGGCGAGAGUAGUACUAGGAUGGUUGACC
rnacentral:lncRNA from 1 species